rnacentral:lncRNA from 1 species
UGAGGUAACAAAUCAAAAAACGUUUUUUAAAGCUAAAAUGAAAAUUCUACUGCAAAGGUACAAAAUUAUCUCUUUAUAAUUGCUCAUCUGUUGUUCUUUGACGCUUUGAUCGAGGACUCGCGUUCUUGGAUUCGCUUUUGGUUUCUUUUUGUCCCGUCCCUUAGAAAGCUUUUCCUCGUAAAAUUUGAUGUGUAUUAAUCUAUUUCGCUUCUUUGGCUUCAUCUCUGACGGCAAAAGAUCAUUUUGCUGUCCGUUUCGUGAUUGUCCAAUCUCACCUGCCCCCUCCUCUGCGGUUUGAGCACAGACGGGGCCCGACAUGGCCCGGUCCCUGAUCUCCAAUCACAUGCCACCGCUCUCGCUGCUGCCGGCGUCCUUCUUGCGACUGCAGCGCGACUGCUUCCAUGUGAUGCUGCUCCACGUUCCAUUGUGCUGUGUGGUGUCCAUUCCCCUCGUUUUCCACCACAUCUCGCCUCCCCCUCCGACUCCUCUGAUCCCAAACUCCAAGAAACCUCAUCCAAUGGACGGAUUGGGCGAACAAGCAGUGGCGUGCAACUGCUUCUGGACCGAGUCAAAAUGGAUUGAACCGAUGGUAUGGUGGGUCUCCUUGGGAUUUGUAGCGAGUGCUUUUGCGGUGCACCUGAAAAGCAGGCUUUUCAGAGACCUGCGCUUGCUUCUGUGCCCAAAGAUUCCCUCCUCAACCAUUUUGAUUUCCUAAAACUAAGAUAAUGUUUUUUUUCGAUGUUCAUAAAACAAUCCUUAAAAAGGAGUUAAUUUGAAUGUUUCUGCAAAUAUACAACAUAUAUUUUUCUUUUUAUUGCAAAAUAACUGUCCACAUGUUAUAUUGGAUUCAUUCUCACCAAACUACUCUCUUCAUUCUUCUCUUAUAUUGGAUUGUCCAUAUGUUAUAUCUCAAUGCUGUUCCUUUAUAAUUUAAAUAACAAAAUGAUUGUGUUAUAUUAUAAAGUAAGACUGUAUACAUUAAUUGCCAAAUGUGAUUUAAGACACUGGAUUAAUUGGUCGUAAGUGCUAAAGGUGGCAUUGCCAUGUUGAACUCACCACUUUUUCUCUUCAUCUCCUGAAAUUUAAAUCAGAAAGUCUUAUAUUUAACUUCAUCUCCUAAGAAUUGAAUAAUUUAUUUCAAUUUUUUGGGCAACCUUCUUCGCACAAAAUCAUGUGGUAUUUUAUGCAUUAGAAUUGACUUAUAUGGCUCUAGCUUGAACUAUGUGGAUCAUGUUCGGAGUCGAAUUUGGACUUAAGCAUUGUGGGCUGAAGUUGACACUAGAAAUGUCAAUGUUUUUUGAUCUGGUCCAAAAAACCUUAAGACCGAAGGCGGGCUGAUGAAUGAGGCUUAAGGUUUAGGGUUUUAUGACUUCAAAUGAUGAUUGAAACAUUAAACACCAUAUCCUGCUUAAACAAACACCACAUCAGACUCCCAAAAUAUUCUUCAGCCUGCUAAAUACUAUGUAGAAGCUGUACCUCAACAGCUGAACUGUCUGUAAAUAUUCAACGAUAGGAAUAACGGGUUGCAUGGCAUUCUCUUCAUCAAAUUUUGAAGGUAGAUCGAAACAUAUCGAGUCUGGAAGUAACAUGUUGAUAACCAAAUAAGAAAGAUACUACUCUGACCAAUGACCACAUUGGAUAUAGUUAGUUGAUGGAGAUUUGAGAGAGAGAAGCUCUUAGCAGUGGCCAUGUUCCGAAUAUGGCCUGGCAUUGCCAUCAGUCUCCUUUAAGCUUUCCACUCAGAUAAAAGAGACAAAGGUCAAUCAGAGCUGUCCACAGGCACAGUCAUGAAAUGGGGUUUUGCUGAGAGGCUUUUGUUAAGUACUCUUUGGUGGGGUCCUUGGUGGGACCUCCCCACCAUCUCUGCCCUUCUCCCCAAAGGCUCUGCUGCAUGAUUCUGAUUCAUUGUCCUGAGGCAUCUUUCACCAUUUUGGCAUCAGGACUAACAAGUUGCAGUAUCCUCAAAGCAGAGGUGACCAGAUGCAUUAUAUAGGGUUCCUGUCCUUGCAUAAAUAGGAAAGUGAUGGGAGGGGGAAUCUUAUAUAGGUAAGGUAGAGUUUCACAGAUAAUGAUAUAUAUGGAUUAUCCAGAGAAGGCCAGAAUCAAUCCAGCAUGAGGUGAUCACUUGAUCAUGCUGGGAAUUCAUAUGUUUAUUCUUUUUUCCUUUCUUUUUUCCCCCUCUUCUUCAUAGCAGACACUUCCAGCCCUGAAAAGCUAACCUACUAUAACCUAUUAGAUAAGGAAAUGCCUGCUGAGAUAUGAUAAUGCUUUCUUAAAGUUAAAGGGAAAAAGAGGACUCCUGAGAUCUACCAAGAUAAGGAUAAUGUUCAAUUAAUUAGAAUGUACAACCAGAAUGGUACUGUGCCUUCAGUAAAGUGGUGCUGUAGAUGAUUGCUAGACAAAAAAUAAAAUGUACCCUUGCUGAAUGUUUUGUAAACAUAUAUUCAAAAUACACUAUCCUUUGAUUUUAUCACAAUGUUCUCUUCAGUAUCCAGCAAAUUGGACUUUCUUUUUGUUCUCUGCAUGGUAUUAUUUCUGAAGUGAUCUCUCUCUCUCUCUCUCUUUUAUUAUUGUUGAUUGGAAUUCUCUAGUGUCAAGAUGGUAAGACAACCAAAUAGGCUCAGGACAAAGUUAUGCAAGAUUGAGACCUGAUAACAAUUAUCAUAAUAACCAUAAUCAUUUUCAGAAGCAACAAUGACCUGAUCAUAAUAACAAAAACAACUUGAUAACAAAGAGCCCCUAGAAGUAACAAUGAUCAUACUAACAUACUAAUAAUCUCAGCAGCUUGAUCAGAAGAUAUUUUCAUAGAAGGAAUCAAAUAUGGUCAUAUGGACAUAAAGGAUACAAAGCAAGAAUAUGGUGUGCUAUUACAUAAGAAUCAGCAGGAAUCCUCCAUGGUGCCUAUAUAUUUGCUCACCACAACAAUAACCAAGUUAUGAUCACAUUGAUGGGUUAUUUCUUUGUAGCAAGAACAAGGUUAUUCAUAAGUCUAAUCUUUGCGCAAGAGGAUCAACUGAUACAAUUCCAAGCAUUAGCUAGACCUGAUGCUUAACAAAAGUUUAUCAGAUUUACUCCUUCCUUCAACAUGUACACAAUAAAUGCUGGCUUCAGCCAAUGGUUUGAAAAUUUAUUUGGGAGCAAUUUGCAGGAGUUGCUCCCGAGAAAUUUUACACUCUUGACUCUUGAACAGCCAAAUUCUCUGCAUCAAGGUUAUAGCAGGUGUUCUAAAUAUGAAGUUGAAGAUCAACCUGAUGCAUAAAAAUAAACAUUAGCCUUGGUGACAUGAGUAGUAGGAGUCAGAUAUCUUGUGUUUAAACAUGGACAAAUGUUUCCUCGAUUUGACAAUUAUAAUUAGGUUAUGUCCAUCUUACCAGAUCCACUUUUGUGGGUGUUCUCACAGGCUGUUGGGUGAUUCUGCUGCAACAUUUGAGACCCAAAGGUGUAUCGAUUCAUCGCCUGCAUUCGGUCAUGUUGAAGCUAUUUCAGCAAAAAGACAAAGAUCAAGAGGUGUAAAGAUGAAGCUACAAGCCUGAAAGCGAGGCUGAACAUGGUGAAGGCCAAGGUAGGAGGAAGCAUGCGAUUCUUGCAAAUGGGCACUUUGCAUCAGGUUUCGAAACAUUGCUGCUUGGAAGGCUGGAGAAGUGGAAGACAAUGUCUGGUUGGGGGUAGAAGAUUGAAGUGCAUGAUGCAUCAAAGGAACACAAGCAUGACCAACUCCCACAGCCAUGCCUGGCAUAGAUUGUUGUGCACCUGGAAGCAUCAUCUGCGCCAUGCGACCUCCCAUCCACAUCAUCUGUUUCAUGGAUCACAGUAUGCAAAAGAUCACAUUACUGGUGUACAAGUCCUGUGUCAUGGCAUCAUCAUUUUGUCAAACCUGAACUUGCAGUUGCAGUGACUUCAAGUAUUCAAUUGCCUCAUCCAGCAUUGAUGCUUUGUCCGUCUGAGAAUUUUAAAUGUACAACAUAAUCAGAAUUCAUAUUGGAAAAUUUCACCAAUAUUAGAAUUUGGCAAUGGACUGUCGGUUAGUUCUCGAAUGAUUUAUACAUGUUUGAUAUGAAGAUGCCUUCAAGUAUGAUAUGUCGUGCCUUCAAGUUCACAGGCACACUCAGGAAAUGCCUUCAAUAUGGAAAUCAGCAAUAUGAUGAUUGCCUUCAAGUAUGAUCAUUUCUGAGAAGCUAUGAUAUGUGGCGACUUCAUGUAUUCAAUUGCCUCAAAAUUUCAAUACCUACGGUCUAUAUUCUAUGAACUAUAGUAUUAAGAACACAGAAAACAUUUAGAAUUUUUCUUCAUUGAUCGUGAGAACAGAUGCACAAAUUACCUUAUUGCAAUGUGGUAUCAGCUCUUGCAGUGCCUUCAUCUUUUCAUUUAUUCUAUCUCUUCUUCUCUGCAUAAGAUCAUGCCUCCUGGUUAAAAGUGAGCUCAGUUCAUGUCAGUGGUUCUUCACCAAUUCUUACCCUCUCAGAUAGAUUGUGAACUUCAGCAGCACGGCUUCUGCGAGUCGAUAUCGAUCCCUGAGCUGCCUUCUUCGCCUCGACCGACUCAAACUCAGCCUCCUACAAACUCAGUCUCAGUUUUCACUGUGUCUAAUGCCAAUGGAAUCAGUUGGAAAAGAGAGGAUUACCUCACUUUGGUAUUCUGCAACCUGCACAUCUCUUUGCUUCCUCUUCUGGCACUGACCACUUCCACCCUGAUCUCCUGUUCUUCUGAAACUAAAACAAGCACCUCCUGAUGAUGAAGCGAGAGCAGUUUCAAAUGCAUGCUUUGGCACACUUGCUCCUGCAACACCAGCAGCAUCACCCUGUGCAUGGAGUCGAUUGCUCUCACAAAUGCUUGAAGACAUCGUGUUGUUCUCUCGGAGAUGGAGAGUGGACUUUUUAGGAGCAGUCAAGACAUCGCUCGCACCGGUAUCACCGAAGCCCAUGUAUCUAUCAAUGGUGCUCAUGUUACUGGGGCCAAGUCCAUCGAUGCCUGCCAUCUCAGAGAAGAACUCCGAGCAGAAUUCCUUCUCUAGCGAAUCAUGGAGGGGACUCGGAAACCAUGACGCAGUUGCAUCGUCUUGAAUCGAGCUGAUGGAUCUCCCAAGAGACUGCUCCCGUUGUUGCUGUUGUUCUGGUUUGAGCUUGGCAAUGGCGGCAGAGGCUCGCGGGUGGUGCUGGCUCUGGCUAUGCAUGACGACAUGCCCAUCUCGCCACAGCAGCUCUACGAGCUCACUGUCUGGCCUGCAAGAUUGGAACAAAAGGGAUCACGGAUCUGUAAGUGGAUAUAUAGGAUUUAAGAGGAGAGGAAGGGGACAAAGACAAAAUGGAUGAUGCUAACCCCAUGGGAUUCUUCUGAUUUGCCAUUGGGAGGAUACCUCCAAAAUCUGUGGUGUCAUCUUCCAAAUUCCAAUCAGGAACAUAUUGAUUCAUUGCUAGAUUUGGACUGCAAUCAUCAGAGAAAGUUAUAUAUCAGAAUUCCUAUAGUUCAAGUAUGGCAUUUGACUCCAUAAUAAGAAGAGCACCGCAUCAGUUUCACCUGUUCCUUCAAGAACAAGAACUGGUAAGCUCGAAAAGAAGCAGAACAGUAAUAAGAGAUCAAAUGGUCAAGAAGAACAAAGAUAUCCAGAACAACCACAGAAAGAUCCUUUGCCUCAAACUCAUGAGCAAGGGAAAGAACAUUUCAAAAAGACUGAAACUACUACAAUUACCGUCGUCUCAGACAGACUCAUACUAUGUUUGCUAGAUCACAACAAACACACACACACACACAGAGACAAAGAACAAUUCCAACUGGGUUACAUCACAUUAAGAAGCUGACAUAUCUGAAUCAAAUUUCUUGCUCAAAUCUAUUUUAUUUUUCUUUUUCAAGAGAAAAAGGUUCCAUACAGAGAAAAAGACAAGCGAGAAGAAAAGCUAAAACAAAGACUGGAAACCAGAAAGUGUUGAGCAAAAACCAACCUUCUCCUUAGCUCCACAAUCUUCGAACAAGAAAGCAGACAGGCUUCACUACCUCCUCCCCUCCCCGGCAGCUACAGAGAUGGUUGGAAACUUGAUUCCGUGAGGGUUUUAACCACUGCUGGAUUAGGAAGGUGGGGAAGGAGGACAUGCCAUUUUCAUGCUGUUAAUGCUAUCCAUAGCUUCUAUCUCUAAUGGAGGACUUUGGCCAUGGCCAGGUUUGCACUUGUUCUGCAACAGUGUCAUGUCAGUUUUCAAAGCAUGUCGGGGUGGGUCUACCUGUGAAAGCUUGGCUGGUUAACGAGAUCUCCAUCUCACUUCAAUGUCCGAGCUUAGGAGUUCACAUCAAGCAGAUGAUUAGAUCUCAUCACAUUUAUACUGCUGACAGCGAGUCUUGUCUUCACGAUAAGAUUUCGAGUCAAAUACCACCUUUUGAGGUAAAGCAAUUAUAUUUUCUUUCUAAUUCAAAGUCUAAUUGAUGAAGAUAUUAGUUAACUUAGUUGAUAAAAAUUUUAAUAAAUCAUCAUAGAAUUCUGAGUAAUAAUAAUAAUAAUAAUAAAUUUAACACUUUACACAAGUAAAAAAUAAUAUUAAAAGGAUAUAUAAUAUCUAAUAUAACCUUAAUAAUCUUAUAGUAUAUUUCGGAAGGAUAUUAUUAUCAAUUACAGUUUAGCUAAUAGAGACACAUAAGUAUUAUUUUGGAUUUGUAAGAUAUAUAAUUUAAAAUUUAGAUGAGAAUAUAUAUAUAUAUAUGGGAGACAUAAAUGUGAUGAUUUUAUUGCAUCUGCCACUGCUCAAUUUCAUAAGCAUUAAAGAGGGGGAAGGUCAGAUGCCAUGAAUCUAAAUCCUAUGAUCACUAUCUCUAUUGAAUUGGCAUGAUCAUGGUAUAAAAUGGACGGCACCGGCUACAUUGAUGGUAAGGAUAACCACAAAAACUAUGAUGAGGUGAAAGCAUAAAACAAGUGAACGAAUAAGAAAUAGAGAAAGAUAUGAAACACUACCAUUUCUUGAUAAUAAAAUAUAAUAAAACUGUUGCACAUUAAGAGUGUAGUUAUUAUAAUCCAACUAAUCGUUCGAUCGUCGAUCCAUCGGAUCGAAUUAUUAUUUAAUAAAUAUUAAAAAUAUAAAAUUAAAUAUCAAGGUUUUUUCUUUAUUGUUAGCACUCUAUAAUAAAUUAGAUUAGGCUUCUAGAAUUUUUUUUAAAAUAUUUAUCUAUUUUUUAAGCAUUAUUUGUUAUUCAUCGAAUUCGAUCAAGACUUCGAUUAUAUGACUUUUCUAAAUAAUGGUGGAAGUUUAAAAUAUUGCAUCUUCCUAUUUCUCACUUUAUAAAAAAUGUAAAAUAUUAUCAUUAUUAUUAUUAUUAUUUGCUGAUGCUCUUCUACUAUGCAACAUUUAUUAUGUUUUGUUGAAAAUACGGAGGAGAUCUGAGUUGACAAUUUGAGGUGGAGUAAUGCUGGUCGGAGAGUGGAGGACAGAACACUUUCCUACUAAUCAAACAAGUGCCUCCCAAUACUCAUUUCACAUACUAUUCCCUCACUUCCUUUACGUCAGCUAUCUCAGUCACUCCAUCUCUCUCUCUCUCCCUCUCUAAUCCUUAUUCCACACACUGUUCCCUCACUUCCUUUACAUCAGCUAUUUUGGACAAGCAGGAAGAUUCACUCCCUCUUCCUCCCUCUCCUAAUCACUCUCUUCUUUCUUUUUGGAGGCACAGCACUGGUGGAGAAGAAGGCAGCCAAGAAGAUGUGGUUCUCAUUACAUUAAAGUUUCGAACUAUUCUCAUUGAAUAUUUUUGAGGCUCUAUAAACUUCCUCAUGUGGGUUUGGAUCUGUGCAGGUAACACUGGCCAUGGUGCAUGCAUCUGUUAAAGGCACCACACUUCUUCUUUGUGGUAAUGUUCCCCAUACUUCCUACCAAAACAGCAGCAGCAUCAAUCUAUCAAGUGCAGCAUCAGAAGCUGCUGUCCCCAACUCAAACCAACAAAUUCUAUUCCUGAGUGAUGCCAGAGUACUCCACUCAGUUCAUCAUGAGUUUUACUAAUCAUUACCUAAUAAUUUAUGACUGCUAAUUUGUUCUGAGCCAUAUUUCCAUGCUUAGUUUUUGCAGGGAAUUAAAUGCAAGCCAACAAAAUCUAUUCCAUUCAGUUCAUCAUGAGCUUUACUAAUCAUUACCUGACAAUUUAUGACUGCUUUGAGAAACUGUUCUAAUCCACACUUCCAUGGUUAAUUUGUGCAGGCAAUCAAAUGCAAGUUAAUGAAUAAAUCAAGAUCUUAUGCAAAUUUGCAUCUUAGAUUGCUUUGCUUAUAAGCCAUAUUAGCAAUAGAUAUGAACUGGGUAUUGGAAAAAGUCUCUCUCUCUCUCUCUCUCUCUCUCUCUCUCUCUCUAUAUAUAUAUAUAUAUAUAUAUAUAUAUAUAGAGAGAGAGAGAGAGAGAGAGAGAGAGAGAGAGAGAGAGAGAGUUGGCCUGUAGGUUGAACAACUACGUUGUUGGNNNNNNNNNNNNNNNNNNNNNNNNNNNNNNNNNNNNNNNNNNNNNNNNNNNNNNNNNNNNNNNNNNNNNNNNNNNNNNNNNNNNNNNNNNNNNNNNNNNNNNNNNNNNNNNNNNNNNNNNNNNNNNNNNNNNNNNNNNNNNNNNNNNNNNNNNNNNNNNNNNNNNNNNNNNNNNNNNNNNNNNNNNNNNNNNNNNNNNNNNNNNNNNNNNNNNNNNNNNNNNNNNNNNNNNNNNNNNNNNNNNNNNNNNNNNNNNNNNNNNNNNNNNNNNNNNNNNNNNNNNNNNNNNNNNNNNNNNNNNNNNNNNNNNNNNNNNNNNNNNNNNNNNNNNNNNNNNNNNNNNNNNNNNNNNNNNNNNNNNNNNNNNNNNNNNNNNNNNNNNNNNNNNNNNNNNNNNNNNNNNNNNNNNNNNNNNNNNNNNNNNNNNNNNNNNNNNNNNNNNNNNNNNNNNNNNNNNNNNNNNNNNNNNNNNNNNNNNNNNNNNNNNNNNNNNNNNNNNNNNNNNNNNNNNNNNNNNNNNNNNNNNNNNAUUAUAUUCUGGCUCUACAGGGAAGAUGGACCCAUAUCAAAUUAUUGCACAUGCAGCAACUUAAUAGCUAUCGUGCAUUACUCUGUUUCAUAUGGAUACAAAUAAUCUGCAUCCUGCUUCUUAUCUACAGAAAGAAAAUAGUACACCUGAAAGCAAUAGCUGCAUGAUCUUGUUCAUCUUUGUGCGAUGAUGAUGGCUGGACCUGAGCUAAAAGGUUCGAUCUCAGGCCCAAUCACCAAUCCUUUUCCUCUCUGAAUGCAUUGUAAUGCACUUCUGAAUAAAAUAGGAAUAGGCUGCAUGCAGGCAUUGACAAGAGAUUUAUGAUGGGAACAAAACUUAGGGUGUUAAGUACUUUGAUCUUUUAUGACUCUCAUUAUGCCACUAUCAGAAUGUGAGACCACUGCUAUAUGUAACAGAUGAUCUUUAAGAACAAAAUAUGUAGUUUUUUUAAGGGUUUUUUGUUUGCCAUUUGAUGAGACAGAGUGCAAAAACGAACAUGUAAAGUUGUUGAUAGUAAUCCAUUGCACAGUGGAAAGAGAAGUAGAUAUUACAUAACAUGACGCAGAAUCCUACAAGUACAACAAGCCAUGGCAAAGGCAAACAAGCGUUACAUCGCUGCACACUGAGUGCAUGCAUCAAUGCUCCGUGCACGAGCUCUGCACCGCCACCGCAGGAAUGGUCGGAACAGCAGGCAUCGGCGGCAGUGUUGGAAGUGUCGGCGUAGCCAAGGUUGGGAUACCCAGUGCUGCGGCGGGGGCGGUUGCUUCUACGAGAUGGCGUGCUGCAUGGCAUUCUUCGAAGCUUAAGAACGCAGUGGCCAUGAGAUUUGCUUUGGCGAGGAGGCCAGAGUUGGAAGCCAUGGAUGAUGUUUAAGUAAUACUAGUUCUUGGGGUUUAUACGUUAGAGAGAGAGAGAGAGAGAGAGAUCUGCAAGAGAACUCUCAUGUUAUUAUGUAAUAAAGUUCAAGUAAAGCAUCUGUUUGAUUUAACAUUAAUUACAAACACAGCAAAUUUUAGGUGAAAGUGAAAGUGUUUGGAUUAAAUAAGAAUAAGCAUAUGUGAAUAAUACAUUAACUCUAACAAAAUCGAUCAUCAUCAACAAUGAUAUCAGCAAGCAAAUAUGAGCUCAUGGCCACAUCUUUCGAGUGUUGGAGGAUUCUUCACUGCGUGUAAUCAGGCAGCUAGAACCACAUCCAAAUCAUCAUCAUCACCAUUGAGUUCCCUACAUAACCUACCAUCAGCCGCUGCGUCGUCGCCGUCGCCGAUGAAGACCGAAACUACCAGAAGAGCCUUGUCCAUGGCAACCACCACCACCACUCUGCAAUGCGUGAACCAGCAAGAGAAGCAGGUGAGGAGAGGAUGCCUUCUCCUUGUUGUUGGAGUGUAGACUGUAAAGGCCACAGGAGAGCAGGAAAAGGAGGGGUCAACGUUGGAACACUCUUCUCCGCUUUCACAUGCUCGUCCGCGGUGGCGGGCGACGCGGCGCAUUGGUGCCACGUGCCACUGCGCUGUGCAUGUCGGACAUUGACCAUGAGUCAAACCGGGGCCCGCAGGGGCGUGACCAUCAUCUCCAUUAUCUCCAUCAUGGAUAAUAUAAAGAAAUUGAGGCAGGUGUUGCAUUCAUUUUCGUGAAUUUAAUUUAAUAUUAUUUCCAUUCCUUAGUCGCUAAUCACUAAAAGAAAUAUUUCAAUAGUAAAAAAUAUUUUUUAUUCAUCGAACAUGCCAAAUUUACUGUUAAUGGUUUUUUUAAAUCUUAAUUAGAGAUAAAAAUUUAUUAUAAUUUAUUAUAAUAUAUAUUUCUUAAUUUUGCAUGAUAAAUUCACACGAAACAAAAAUAAUAUGAAUUAUUCAUCGAAUUGAGGGAUCUCUCGACUCUUAGUUAUUUAUCUAUGCAGAAAUAGUGGAAUGCGCAAUUUCUAUGUCACCAUUACCUCUGAGGCCAUCAAACUUUGGAGUCAGUAUUGUUGAUGUGAAGUUCGCAUUGGAGUCACAGCCACACACCCACCGUACUUCUUCUUCUUCUUCUUCCUACCUUUCUUUCCCUCAUAUCUACCAACGUGAUAUCUACUUCACCUAACUUAUCCUGCCCCAUGUCCACUUUCCCAACUCUGAAUCCCAACCCUUGAUCGAAGGUGCGCCAGUGAGGUGAUCCGAUGCUCUAAGAUUCGUGCAUCCAUCGGAACCAACGUUCCCUUUCCAUUCAUGUAACAUUACUGUCAUUAUACGGGAGCUAUACCAAUGUUGAUUCUUAUACUUUCAAAAGUUAUAUUAUGAUCCUUCUGCUAAUAUUCCUAUAUAAGGUUAAAAAUCAAAAAAGAGAAAGAGAUUUUAUUAAAGCAACGGGUUAAAUAUUUUACUUUCGUAAAUAUAAUAUUUCACUAUAAUUUUUAAAAAGUAUAAAAACGGAAACAUUGAAGGUAGUUACCCGUAGGGGUAAUAUAUAAUUAGCUCUAUAUAUAAUAAUUAAAUAAUAUUUAUAAUGUUUAAUUUAUUUUUUUUUAUCAAAAAUAUAUUUAUAUAUGAGAUGAAAAUUAAAAAAAAUUAUUAAGUCAAUAACUAGUUAGAUGUUUUUAUCUAAAUUUAAUAUGUUAAAAUUUUGAAUUGUAUUAAUGUUUGAUAUCAUAUACGUAAGAACAAUACCGAUAUUAAACGGCUUCGAAAAUAUAAAAAUGGGUACAAGGGUUAAUAUUAGAAAAUCGAAGUUUUUGAAUUAUGUUUGUAUCAAGUCUCAUGUAUAUUAUUUCGAAUCAGUUUUAUUUAUAAUUAUAUAAUUAAAUCUUCUAGAUUUUUUUUUGUGUCAUCACAUAUAAUUACCAAAAUUAUGAUUUGCUAAUUAUGCUGAUGAAACAAAAUCCCCAUAUAAUGGGUCAUAAAACCUUACAUACACUACUGAGCCAAUACUUGAGCUCCUUUUCACCUGUUUGUAUAAAUGCCAGUAGCCUCUCCUUGUUUGCAGCAAAAGGAGGUCAAGAAGCAGAGAAGUCAGGGAGAGCGCAAUGGCAGGGAAGAGGAGGUGGGAGGACAUGGAGAUGGACUGCUUGGUGGCGAUCUUGCAGAGGCUCGGCCUGCAGGACUUGACGCUGAGCGUGCCGUUGGUGUGCCGGUCAUGGCGGAAGGCCUCUCUCCACCCCCUCUGCUGGCGAGUACUAAACUUGCGGGACUUGGACUUCAUGCCGUGGGGUGAUUUGACCAAGAGCUUCAUGGCAGAGUACCGCCUCCAGAGAUUCUUCUUCUCGGGCUUCUUAAAGCUCGCCGUGGCGAGGGGCAAUCGUUUGGUGGAGGAGAUCAUGUUCCCUCUCCUGUUUGGCACCUCCAUGCAGGACCUGUUCUUUGUUUCUGACGAGUAUGAAGCCUUCUCCCUACUUAUUUAGAUCUUUUACUCGAUGGUUGAUGAAGCUUUCAUGGGUUUCCAGCAGAUGCCCGAGACUGAAGAAGCUUGUGCUGCCGAAUCUCUCGCCGGCAGAUGAGGCAGACAUCCCAAAGCUCGUAGGAAAAUGGAAGGACCUCGAGCAGCUUGAGAUGGAGGCAAAACCAUCUUCUUUCUUGGAGAUGCUCUCAGAAAUCAAUCUGCAUUGCAAGAAGUUUAGUGGACUCAAAAUGUGCGGUUCUAUCAAAAAGGAAGACAUGUUGGCCAUCGUUAAUCUUCUUCCAAAGCUCAAGUUUUUGUGCCUCAGCAAGUCAUACUUGCCCAGGGAGCAACUACUGGGGAUACUGAGUGGCUGUAAGGAACUGCAGAGAUUGACUGUGAGGGACUGCAUGGGAUUUGAAGCUGAUGAAGAGGUAAAGAAAAGAGGUUUAGGCAUCAAGAUUUUCGAGCAUGAGGGUUCCAAAUUGUUCGAUGAUUUCGAUUAUAAUUCAGAUGAAUGUGAUCCAUUGUAAAUGCCUUGAUCAUAGCCUGAGUACCUUAAAUCUUUGUCCUCUAAUUAUCUUCUGCAUCCCUCUUUCCCUGGUGUACUACUUUGAAUCAUUCCUUUGGAAGAUUCAUCAUUCUUCUGCAUGAUGAUACUCUUGAAAGUAGAUGUAGUCCUCCAAAAAAGAUCUUGACUUGUUCUCCAAAUUUGUAGCAGGGAAGCAGCUCACACAAAGAGUGUAAUUAACAACACCUGACAACAUAAUCACCACCCACCCCAACCAAAAACCCACCAAACCAAAAGCAAAAGGAGAUUCGGAGCAGUCACCUAUUCUGAAGGAUACUGCAUCACAAGAGGACAAAACGAUCAAUUAAAUUGUUGGAUCAACUUAUACAAACUAUUUUUUGCUGUUCAUUCAUUUCCCUGCAAAUAUAAACAUCAUAAUCUUGGCUGGCUCUUGUAACUACUGGUAGUGAACCAUCUUUUGCUUUAGCAAAGACUGUGUGCCAGUAGCAAUCACUAUUCUUGGUAGCCUAAGAGGCAGCAGCUAAAAGUUUCCUAGGCCAUGUAUUCAAUUGUUUCUGUAGUAGAUUCCUUUCAAAGUUUUCUGUGGAAGGAUGUGACUUGAAUAACAUUAGGAUCAUCACCUACUGUUCCUGUCAGCUGAAAGGAAAAAACUUCUCUUUCAGAAGAGUCUGACAUCAAAAUAACAAUAGAGCAGUUUCUUUUAAGGAAGAAAAAAAUAUCAUUGGAGACAUCACCUGUCUUUUGCCAGAAAUUAUGCAGGAAUAAUUGUCCAUGCCAAUUCAAAGGAAAACACCUCUGUCAACACACCUACACAGAAACUGUACUCAUUAAUAAUUAUGAGGAUUUUUGCCUGGGUUGAGCAGAGCCCAAUCUGCAAAAGAUGGCAUGGGUCUUUUAAGACCAUUUUGUUGCCAUUGCUUGGCUAUGAAGCAGGAAUUUUACCCAUUAUUCAUCUCAGCAUCAUUUUGUUUCAUGAUAAAUGCAGCCAUUCAGCAUUUUGAGGUGUUUUGAGAGGAAUCAUGAAACUUUGAGUUCUCAUUGUGAAGUUAGAUAGUUUCUUCGUGCAUCCUUCCUCCUAUUUAUGUUGCAUUAAUACAGAAACAUUAUCAUUCUACGCCAUCAUUCCAAUACAAUAAUUGAUCGAAAAAUAUCGAUGGCAUUCAUAUCAAUAUAACUCGGUUCGAGCACGUGCAUGCAAGAAACUUGAUAUGAUCGAUAUAGGGUGGCUCGAACUCUCCUCAAGGACUGAGGUAGACUCCGAUGUGUGCUAUACGGUGGACUUAAUAGAAAGAUCAAGAUCAAAUGAGUUUCUCAACAUUGAUCCUUCCAAUACUCUACGAUAAAAAUAGAGUAAAUUUAGUGAAUAAUAAUUGACAUUUAUUACUAAGGUAAUUUUUUUAUAAUGAAUUAAUCGAGAAGAAUAUUUUAUAAAAUAAUCUUUCUCCUUUGGAUAUGAGCAUAAUACUUUCUUAUCGCUAUUUUAGACUAAUGUCUAUAUGAUCUAAUUGUUAAUUUUAUUUUGCCCCAUCAUUAUUUGCCACUAUUAUUUGGAGAAAAUAUUUUUCAUAUCAAUAAUGAUGGCAAAAAAAGCUUAUAAGUAUUUUCUUAUAUGCUUAUUUGGUCAAACUAACUAACCUUAGAAGAAAUUAAUUUGAAUUUCAUGGAUAAAUAUUAUUAAUAGUUGUAAAUGCGAGAAUUUUAAUAUUUUAAAAAAUGAAUUAUAUUAAAGUUUUAAAUAAUAAAUUUAUUUUUAUUUUUAUAAUAUGCAUAUGCGUAUUGUGCGUGUGAUAUAUAUAUAUAUAUAUAUAUAUAUAUAUAUAUAUAUAUAUAUAUAUAUAUUUAUUUAUUUAUUUAUUUAUGGAGAGAGAGAGAGAGAGAGAGAGAGAGAGAGAGUGCGAUAGCAAUGCAACGAGGGAGGUGCCGACUAUCACGAGCUUUCGUACCUUCGUCUCGACCGUCAUCCUCUGUUUUUUAUUGCUUUGUCUUCCACCUCAUAUCUGCGCUUUGAAUCCGUCUUAACCCUUACUAUGUCCGAAGCCUUCCGCCGUCUUCCGCAAAUGAGCUUUUCAAUCCCAAGUCAACUCGUUAAUUUUGGCCAUUUUCUCUUCCUGUGACCCCCCUGGUGAUGAAAAGCUGCGGAUUCGUCCUCUUGGAUCCGGUUUCCUCGAGCUCGCGGCGCCUCUCCUUUCAAGUUUGGAUUUUCCUUGAAUCAUUUUGGAAAAAGUUGGGAUCUUCCCGUCGAAAGUUCGAAUUUUUGUUAGUUUGCUGCUUCAAAGAUUCGAUCUUUGAGGUUCUUGAUUCGGUGGUGUUCCUGCGAUGGAACUCCUUUCCGACGAUGCGGCAGCAGAGGGAGGAGAGGUGGAGAGGGAACCCUCGGGCGAGCCGCUGGUGAGAGAACCCCGACAUUGUCGGACCCAUUUCCCCGGCGCCGUGCGGCAAAAAGCCUAUCUUUUCGACGGAUUGGGCAACUACUUCAACAAGGAGUGGGAUCUGAUGGAAGGCAGCGGGCGAGAGUUCUGUUGGUACCAUGCGGAGCUCCCGAAGGGAAACCAGAAGUUGGCAUUGUCGGCUCAGUAUCUCAUCGAUGUCCUGUGCCCGCCGCUUAAGCUCCAGGACAUCCUCACACUCGUCAGCAAUGGCCCCUUUUGCGGGCACGUCGACGGCGCCCUCGUGUUCCGAGUGAAUUCUUCGGGUCCUUCCGCCAGCAGCUUCACCCUGAGGCUGGCCGCCAGGGUGACCGAGAACUCGGUCAUCACUGUGAGCCUGGGACGGGUCCCAAGAUUGGGGUUUUCACCCACGGGGCAGUCGCUUCUGUCAGAGAUCCCAAGCAUCGAGAGCACGGAUUUGGUGAGGGAUGAGGAGAAGGAGGGACCUAGUGGAAUUGUCAUUCGGGAGCAUGUUCUUGAAUUUUUGUUGACGAUGAACCACUCGGAGGAGGCUGACAAUCCUGUGCCAGUUAGGGUUUCAAACCUUGUUGUGCAUAUUAUUGACACACAUGUCGAUCAUGUCCAGGAUAUAGUGACUAAGCUUGAGAUGGAACUGGAUGCAGUGGAGCUGGAAUUAGACAAGGGUAAUCGCUUCUUCCCCUUUGUUGUCUUUGAUAGUUUAUCAUCAAUGAUAUGGGGGAAUAUAUGUUUUGUAGUGUGUAAUUUUCCUUCUCAGAACACACUACACUGCAAUAAAUUAGUGAAGCUUUUCUUGUGUUCUCAUGUAGCAAAGAGCAAAUUAAAGAUCCAUAGCCUAUGCAUCACUUAUUCUGCACAAAAAAAAAAGGUGAUAAGUGAAGCUUUAGCUGCAGUUUAUUUGUGUACCAACAUGUUGGAUAUGGAUACAUAUUUUUCUAAUUGAUUUGUCAACUUCGUUGAACCCAAAUCAUUUGUCAAAAUUCUUUAGUUGAAAUUAACAAUAGUAUACUCAUUAGGUAUAAGUUAAUUUUAGUCUUAGCUCACUUUCGACAUCUUGUCACAAUGUCUAAGUUGAAGUUAACAAUAGUAUACUUAUUAGAUAUAAGUUAAUCUAAGUUUUAGUUUACUUUCAACGUGAGACUAACCGGGGUGUUAUAGUGUUAACCAAUACAUGUAUAAUAUCUCAAGAUAAAUGCACAGAAAUAGAAAUAUUUCAUCCUUUGGAUUUGAUUCAUUCGCGAAUCAUCAGGAACUAUUUUAGGUCAACUUGAAACACUAAGCUUCGACAUUUUACACCGAUGAAUCUUUUUAAUUUCUUCUGUUUGGUUGCAGGUUACACUUUGAUUUAAUAAGCCUUGACAUCAAACUUUGACCAUUCCAGAAUCUUUAAAGUGCUUUAUAUCAUUCCUAUUUACGUGGUUGCAAUAUCAUGUGCUUUUCUAAUAUACAAUCUCUGCAUGCCACAACAUUGCAAACAUUUUGUCCUCUACUGUAAGCUUCUAUGCCACUGGUGUAGGUGUCACUGCAUGGAAUUUUUAUUGGAUGUAUAACUUAGACUGGUCUAAUUGCAAUCUACUGGGAUGCUUGUGAAGCAACUUAUUAUGCUAUAUUAUAUGCUACAUAACUUACAAGUGAUUUAUGAGUUGUGUCAUUUUUGAGUACAGGAGGUUCUACAUUGAAGAAACAAAUGCUGGAUGACAGAAAAUUUCCCAAAAUGCAUUUAAAUUUGCAGCGCUUCCUACAGGUGAACUUCUAGUAUUUAUUAACAAUGAGUUAUGCAGGGUUCGCUAACUACUUUCUUCCACUAGGUAUCAUCUUUCCUUUUUCGUCUAUAUGUGGUAAAUCAAUUGUAUCAUAGUUUGUUUUGAUUAAUUAGUUAAGCUAAACCAUGUUAUAAUCCAGGUUGUUGCUCACGGCGAGCAAGUAUUCCCACGUGUAAAAGAGAAAUGUUCAGCCAAAAGUUGGUUUGCGAGUGAAGAUAUCAUUGCCCUUGAAGAACUAAUUGGUCGUCUUAGGAGGCUAAAAGAGAAUUUGGGAUUUAUAGUAAACCGGGUUGCAGCAAUUCAAGCUGGUCUUGAUAGUUGGCAGUCAGAGCAAAUCAAUAGGAAGCUUUAUUAUCUUUCUUUUCUCUCUAUUAUCUUCCUUCCUUUAUCAAUCAUUACAGGAAGUAAGUUCUCCUUUAUCAAUUGUUCAGAAUUAUUUCAGUAUUUCCAGUAUGAAAAUGCUUACCUGAUCUAUUCGGUUCAUUUUACAGUAUUUGGAAUGAAUGUUGGUGGUGUGCCAUGGACAGCACAAAGAGAUCCCGCUCUGCAAGAUGGUUUUCGCAAUGUUAUGAUUCUCUGUGUUGUGAUGUUGUUUUUACUUUUAGUUUCUUUUUCGUUUCCUUCCCUUUAUGCAAGGGUAAAUUCUUGGCGUAGACGGCAUGCUAUGAGGAGGAGUUGGUCAAUUAAUAGAAAGUCCUUCUUGAGUAGAACCUUUCAGCGAGGUGGAUUUCAGGGAGGAGGUUACAUGCGCAUUUAAAGUUCUUUACAGUGCAUAUCUUUGGAACUAAAUUUCAGCAUCAUAUGCUCUGACUUCUUUGGCACAAGAUUCUCCUGAAAAUUCCUUCUCUUAUCUGUUUUUCCUUGUAAAGAUUAUAUUGUCUGAAUUAUGUGGACAGCCUUCAUCUUGGUUGCUCUGAUCUUUCGAGUCCUUUGCACCUUUGUGGGGAAACUCUUUUGUGCCAUUUCCACCAUCACAGAACAUGGAUUUCUUUAGAAACCUAUUGGCAUGGAGUAAAGAUUGUACUCUGAUUGACACUAAAGAUUGUGCUCACCAUAAGACAUUCUCGCAUUGGAAGAUUGAAGCUUGUCAACCUUCAAUACAGAUUAGUCAGAACUUGAUGAAUGGUUCUUGGUGUAACCUCAUCACACUCUGGAGCUGCUAAAUUUUGCCCUUUUUUUGGGUUCAAAACAGCUGAAAGCAUAUAUGUAACCCCAUAGAUGAUCAGAAUUCACAAAUCAUUGAUUCAGCAUGUAGUAACAUUCUGAUGCAUCUGUUGCAAAAAAGAAUCCUUUUAUUUUGGCUUUCUUGUGCAGCAUAAAAUGAAACAUGUAUUUGUUUCCCUGUGGUAAGAAAACCAACAUAAUGCAGCAGGCAUUUGCCCUUGGUUUCAAGCCUAUGGUGCACAUAAUUCCAGAUUUAUGCUUUGAGAAUUUACUAAUUGGUUUAUCUAAUUACUUGCCUCAUCUGAUAAUUGUAUUUUGAUGGCAAAUUAGCAUCUCAUCUUGGAGAUGGCACAGCUUUGCCCAUUGAAUAUCAGAUUCAAAGUUUGUGGUUUGUGGUUUGUUGUUUGUUUCUUUGUUUGGAUGUCUGAUGAAUGGAGUCACUUUCCAUCUUUAUGACAUGUCAUUGUAACAUUAACCAAAAAUAUUUUGAAGCUGGUAGUGAUGACUUUAGCUGUUCAUUCUUUUGGAGAAGAUGACAAUGAAGGUAAAACUCCUCUCUUUUACACAAGUUUGAUUUGUUGGGAUGUAGAGAAGCUGGUGAUGAUAACUUUGAACUCAUGACCUCUAGAGAAGCUCAUUGUACCAUCUUCCAUCUAUAAAUUUAUGAAGAGGCUGGAUUACAGAAACAUACUACUUAGUGUGCAUGUUUGAAGAAGGUACUACAGAAGUCAGUCAAGCCAUGUUGUGCUUGGCAUCUUUAAUUUACUUGCAGCACCCUGUAAGAAAAAAAAGUGAUGAGUUCCAUGUUGGGAGCCUUUGAUUGUAAAAUGACAGCUCCAGAGUCAGGUUUCAUAGAAAUCAUUACUUGAAAGAAACUCAAUUAUCAAUCAAGUGCUUUGCAAUCAAACAAAAAAAAUCUUGAAAAUAGCAUUAACAGCAAAAGAUAUUAUCUUUGCAGAUGUUGGAAGAUUCAACAAGAGUAAAACAGUGCAGUGCCAAUUCUUCCUCAAGGCUGUAUCUGAAUCAGAAUGAUGUAGACAGGGAGUUUGAUGUUCUUCACAUUCAGCAGAACCAGGCAAGUAUUGAAUAGUGAAGAAAACUACAUAACUAUGUCUAAAAUUUAAUUCAAUGAGCAAAAUCUAGGCAACCAUUGCAUAUAAUGAAAUAUAUAUUUAUAUAUCACCACAUCUAAAAUUAAGUUCAUUCAUCAGUGGAAUCAAAAAGUUUUUGUGGCAAUGAAUAAUUAUAUGUUAAAUCUAUUUACAUGUUUCUGCACAGCAUGAACUGGAUAGAAUGUAGAGAGCAUAGUCUCGUAUUCUAUUAAAAGCACACAUCAACCUAAUACUCUAUAACAGUUGGUCAUUGUCAUAACCAUCUUUACAUACCAAUAUGGUUGUGUAGUGGGUAUGACACUUUCACCUGUUGAUUCAAACCACUGCAAAUAUGAAAACUAAAAACAAAAUCAUUAAUCAACAAUCCUGCUGCUUAUAAUCAUAAUAAACCCUGAAAUUUUUACUAGAAACACAAAAGACUAAGCUAACAGAUAAGCCAAAUAGUUCACUGUUUUUAAGUAUUUGCGAUAUACAUUGCAGGUUCAAAUAGUAGUCAGACAUAUAGAAAAUUAGAAAAGACUCUCUCUGCACCACAUACCAUGAAUCCAGUUGUCAUUCAAAGUUAUCGAACAUCAAAGAACCUGAUUAGUCAGUAUCAAUAAUAAAAUAAAAAAUAAGACAUUUAUAUUUGCACAUGGAAAUGACAACAUCUAAACCAAACCCAGGAAUGCAAAAACAUCCACCUGAGCAAAAAAGAAUGUGCAACAAAUAAUAAUAAGCAAAUCCAUAUAAGCAUGGACACAACUGGACUCAAGAGAUUGUCCAACAUAGAAACAGAAACAUGUUUAAAUGUGAUGGUUGUAUCCAGAUAAGUAUGAAAGAUACAAGUAAUAGCUAGAAAGUUGUUCUUCAUGCUACUGUUCAUUACUCAACUGGCAGAAUAUGGCAUCCAUUGGCCAACUGAGGGCCAUUUACCAAAGUUCUGUGUACCUUCUUUAAUUUCUUAAAUUGCGAAAUCAUAUACAAGAAACUAUUCAAAAUCAUACUGGAUAGAGAUUCUCUCCAUGGUAUUCUUACUCACAGCAUCUCUCAGAUACAACUCCUUCAAAACAUCUGCAGCUAAAUCUACCUCAUCCUCAUGAGCAAUUCCUUCCACUAGAAUUGCAUAUGUCGUUUCGUUAGGUACGUAACCUUUUUCAAUCAUUGUCUUGUAAAUAUCAAAUGAUAGAUCUGUCCGCCGAGCCUUGCACAAUCCAAGAAUAAGUGCAUUGUAGUUGUCAAUAUCAGGCUUGUUACCAUGUUCCUCCAUCACUUCAAAAGCCUUAAAAGCCUCACCCAACAUGCCCUCCAUACAAAGACCUUUGAUCAAGGAUGAAUUGGUGUAAGAAUCUGGAGUAAAUCCAUGUUUUGUCAUCUCAUAUAGUAACCGGAAAGCUGCAAAAGUAUUUCCUUUCUUACACAAGAACGAUAUAACAUUUCUGUAGAAGUCAUGCAUGGAAGCAUUUUGCUUAUUUGCCACGGUAUUGAUUAUGGAAAAUGCCUCUACCACCUUCUCCUCCUCACAAAGCACAGCAAUCACAUUAUAAGUCCCCUCAUUAGGAUUACAAUGCCUCUGCAUCAUCAAGUCCAGGCACCUGAGCACCAUGUCCAGUUUCCCCUCCUUGCAGUACUGGGCAAUUAUCAGGUUAUAGUUAGCAGCUACAGGCUUAUACCCAUUUCUUGCCAUCUCUUCUAACAAGUCGAGUGCUUGCUCAGUUCGACCAUGAUGGGCAAGCGACCCUAUCAAUAUAUUGUAUGUGAUACUACUUGGAGCACGGUUUCUAUCACCCAUUUCAGCUAAAAGCUCCUCUGCCUCCUCCCACCGCCCUUCGUAACACAGACUCCGCAACAAGAUGUUGUAGGUAACAACAUUAGGGCUAAACCCUUUGGAAGGCAACUCUCUGUAGAAGCACAUUGCCUCUUCCAAUCUACCCUCCUUGCAAAACCCUGUAAGCAAAACAUUGUAACUAACCAAAUUAGGCCUCCCACCCUUUUCAACAAUUUCAUCCAAUAGCUUCACUGCCUCAUCCACCCCUCUUUCCUUGUAUGCUGCUUCUAGCAAGAAUGAGUAAGUAAACACAUUUGGAACCAAUCCCUUGUGCACUAGUCGAUCCAAAAGCCACAAACUUUGCUGCAAGUUCCCAUGGAUGCAAAGGCCCCUAACCAAAGAAUUGUACGUGAUCGUAGACGGCGGGCAACCAUACUCAUGCAUUUUAUCGACCAGCUGCAUGGCAUACCCAACAUUCCCCCUCUUACACAACUGAUUGAUUAAAAAAGUAUAUGUGGAUGAAUCAGGAGUGCUCCCUGAUCUGAUAAUCAAUUCCAUGACGCGAAUGGCCUUCCGAAUCUUAUUUGAUCUACAAAGAUCGUACAAGAGCUGCGAGGCCUGGGUUGCGUCGGGCCUGUGCCCUCUCCCCACCAUGUACUCCAAAUGCACGAAGGCCUCCUGGAGCCUGAGCUCCCUGGUUCUUGACUCAUUCUUCCCGUUCCUCCGGUUGGGAAGCGAAAAGGUUGCAUCUUUGGGGAGUAUGGUGAUGGGAGUGUAUGCUAAGACCCUAGAAAAACACUUGUUGAGGGAAAGAGUGGGGAGGUCCGGCAGAUGGGAGACGAAGCAUGGCUUGCUUCUGGCAGUGGGUGGGAUGGAAUGAAGACGGGAUGACAUGACCCUACAGGUUCUCUCUCAAGCAAAAUCUUAAGAAUAAGAAGAGCUUUUCAUGAGCUUUGCAGAAAUUGAAUGCUGGAACACAGGUAAAGAUCUAAGAAGCAAGAAAAGAUGCAGUUUUUGUAGCUGCUGAGGGAUGAAAUGGAUGAUUUAAGGUUGGGUACCUCUGUUCACGCAUCAAACUCUUCCCAUGCUCACUGCUUCGGGAUGAAGGUGAUGCAGAGCAACGGCCUCCCACAUCCAAAUCCCGAAGUGCUUCGUCACCAACCAAUGCCUGGUUAACAUACGAGAGGGUUAUCAAGAUUGAUUGGGUGACAUUUGAAUUGAUUAGCUAUUUGCUGUGUGAAAACAUUCAGCGGAUCCACUUUUAGCUAGGCACGUGCGCCGCGAUCUGGCCCGUCGCUCUCUCUUCUCCUUCCCCGACCUCCUCCGUCCGACGACGUCGAGCCCGUCAGAGGACGCGGUUCGGCACUAGCACCACCGAGCUGCUCCGUCACUGCUGCAGGGGCCUGCUCGUUGGACGGCGCAGCCUCGGCCCUAGAAAAAGAGGAGGAGGAGAAGGGGCAGGUGGCUGCGGAUUGGAGGAGGUGGACGGCCUGAGGAGGAGACGCCGGCGGGAGGCGGCGGCGAGCGAGCGUUGUCGUUGGUUCGAUAAUGAUGAGCCGGAUUUGGACCAAAUACAAGGGCCAUAUUUGGGCCUCCAUUAAUGGGCCUAAUUUGGGCUUCUAUUAAUGGCCCAAAUUUAGGCCUAAUCCAAUAGUCCGGAUUUGGGCUCGAUAAAUAGCCAUAGAAGGAGUCUGCUGGCCGUGAUCGAACCGAAUCUACAUUCCCAACCCUCGUUGCCACAAAAGCCUUUUAAAUGCCCCGCCUCGCUCACAUGAGUCGGCGCCUCCCGUUGCGAUCGUUGGUCGCUCCACCGGAGCUCCUCGCCCUCGGUUUCUUGAAUCGUAACCCUAACCCUAAUUACUAUUCUUCCGAUCGCCUGCCGGCGUGCUACUCCUCUUUAUGGCGUCCUCUUCCUCCUCUGGGAGCGAUGGCGGCGAUGCCUUCGACGCGGAUAUGGAGGCCCUGCGGCGAGCCUGCGCGCUCACUGGCGCCGACCCCGCCGACGUAGGUGGUGCCUACUUGGAUUCUGACUCUGAUUCCGGAAGCGACGAUGCAGGCCUCCUUCGUCGUCUGCAGGAACGGUUCUCUUCGCCCUCCCUAGCCGUCGAUUCCUUUUCCUUGGUCAAGCCCCUGUCUGUUCUCGCGCCGAUGGAUCUUGAUGAUGAGGAUGAUUUCGAAACCCUUCGAGCCAUCCAGCGGAGAUUUACUCAGUACAAUAGCGGUAAGAGUCACCGCCCUUUCGAAUCUGUGGCUGGAUUACUUGUUUUAGAUCUUCUUGUCGGUGAAUAUGCAAUGUGGCGUCGCCGCCCUUGUUUAUAUUAUGAUUACUUGGUAAUUUUUUUAAAAAAUUAAUUCAUUUUUGCGUUUGCCUGAGGCUAUGGUUUACUUUGUAUGUUGGCUAUAUAUCAAGAAGAACAGAGAUUGCGAUGCACCUUACCAAAUGAAUAAUUUCAGUCUGAAAAUCAAACGAACUGCUACAAGCAUUCUUUUGUUAAUUUUAAUGGGACUCUGACCAACCAGACUAAGCACAUCUAUUAUGAGAUUAGUAGAUACUAACUUACGACUCCUACCACAUUUCUAAUUGUCAAGAAAUGAUUACCUCCUAUUAGUGGUGUAAACUGAUGGAUCAGAUUAGGGUGGAUUCAUCUGAUUGCAAGUUGAAUUUGCUGGACGACAACUGUCUGUUAGAAUCAAUAUUUCACUGAUUAUUGGACAGAUCUUUUGAAAAUGUCUAGGUUGGUAAAAUCUGAUAUGAUCAUUGGAAGUUGUCUUUGAAAAAGAUCUAUUAGACUUUUAGUGCUUCAAAUUUAGAACUUUGGCCAUUUGACCUUCAGAUCUGGCUUUUAUCCACAAAAUAACUGGCUCAAAUGUAUCAAAAGCCAUAGGUGUUUUUUCUUCUAUGAUUGGUAACAUGAAGGUCAUACAACCAAGGUCGACCUAAAAGAAUGUGGGCAAUAUCUAUCGGUAGGUUGUCACAGUAAAUUUCAUCUUGGUAAUCGCCCAUUUAGAUUGGUACUAGGCAUCUUUCGAUCAUGAGUAAAGUGGUUUCGUUAACCCAAGCUACUUUUAAUGAGGUCGGAAGGUAGUAGUCUUUUGAUAGCAGAUUUUGAGAUUACGUUCAUAGUGCUACCCAAGGAUUGAAAUAUCGUACCGUACCGGAGUUUCGAUCUUCUCUCGGUAUGGUACGGUAUUGUAUACCGAACGGUAUAUCGNNNNNNNNNNNNNNNNNNNNUUUUAAAAAAAUGUGCGACGUCGUCGACCUAGGCGGGGCGAUGGUGUGCAUAUAUAUAUAUAUAUAUAUAUAUAUAUAUAUAUAAUACUGUUCGGUAGCGAGCGAUCCGCGUAUCGGUUUACUGUCGGACUGGUACGUACCGCUCGUACCGGACGGUAUUAUUCGAAACUAUAUACCUUGAUGCUACCCCCCAUCUAUAACUAAUUUGCAAGUUCUUUCCCCACUUCGGAUGAAAGUAUGUAAGAUACAUGUCCUCUUCCAUUUAUUGCAAUCACUAGUAGUAGAGAGAAUAAUGUGGACAACAUUAACAUGAGCAUCCUUAAUUUCUAGUUCGUUUUCAUCACCUGAGUAGGCUUUGGGUUCAACUACUUAGUCUACUUUUUCGAUUUGAUCCUGUGAUUCUUAUUUUAAGAUAAGGGUACGUUGAGGAUAACGAGAGGCAAUGUGACCUUUAUUAUGACAAUAAUGACAUUAGAUUGAAGACGAACUAGUUUAAGAAUCAAUACUUGAAUGAGUUGGACAAUUCAUGGUUGGGUCAGGAUUGUUGCUAGUUGUGGGAUUUUUUUACUUGACAAAGCCACUACAUGGUGUAGAUUGGGUACUAGUUUAAGAAUCAAUACUUGAAUGAGUUGGACAAUUCAUGGUUGGGUCAGGAUUGUUGCUAGUUGUGGGAUUUUUUUACUUGACAAAGCCACUACAUGGUGUAGAUUGGGUACUAGUUCUGUUGUCAAGAGACUGAGAUGAUACUCGACGAAUUGGAUAAAGUUUGAUAUACUUCUCAAUCUCAAGGGCUCGUCGGGAAGCUUCCUCCAUGGUGUCGGGGAAACUAAGGGAGACUUCCCGUUGGAUCUCAAACCUCAACCCAUUAAUAAAUCUUCGAACAGUGAUGAUUUGUUCUUCUUUUAUUUCACACUUAAGUAAAGUUCCUCAAAUUGGGUCAAAUACUCUACCACAUUAGAAUUCAAUUAUUUAAGAUUUAACAAUUGUUAACCAAUUGGCUUCAAAAGUAGGUUGGUAAAUAUAUAUUUUUUUAAGUUUUUAUUCAUGACUUUCUAUUGAGUGAUGGGAGGCUCUCGACGGUGUUCAAGACUACAUUGGACAUAUUGUCAAUAUUUCCUAGCGGGCUCUACUAGUUUUAUUUUUGCAAAUAAUACACGUUCAAUGUCAAUCAGGUUGUUAAUUGUUGCAAUGCACAAGGUGGAAAUGUAAUAUUCAAAUGGUUCUCACUUUUUUUCCUCACUUUUUGUUUUGUUUUAUUUUUUAUUUUUAGACAACUUUCAAGGGUUCAAAUUCUAGUGGUACUAUAGUUGUAGCUAAUGGGGAGAGAGAGAUGGGGAGAGAGAGGGUGAUAAAUAGGGAAAAAAAAGAGAAAAAAGAGAACCACGAUCUAAUGAAAUAUAUGAAUUUUAUUUUCGAUAAAAAAUAUUAAUAAAGUUUUCAAAAAAUUUACCCAGCACUAAGAGCUAUGUGGUCCACUAAUUUUGUAGGGACAAUCGCCCUAAAGUCCAACUCCACACGUAAGGGGUUGACGUUAGAGGUGUAAGGAUCCUUGAGUGAUCAAAGCUUUCAUUGCUAGUUAGAACCCAAUGGGGUAUAGGGCAAGUUUCUUAAUGGCUCUUAAUGGGCUCUGAUACCAAACUGAUGUAGAAUAAUAGAGUAGGGAAGUAGAGAAAGGGGAAGAGAAAGAAGGAGAAGUGUGAGAUACGAGAGGAAAGUAAGAGACUAGAGAAGAUAUAAUUCUUGUCAUUCCAAUCUGAAGUGUUUGAUCUAUUAACAAGCUCCACUAUUUAUAGGGGUUUAGGAGGUUUGGUACAAUUAACAAAGACAAUGAUUCCCAAUAUUAAUCUCCUAAGGAAUCUAUAUGUCUUUUAGAAAUCCAAAAUGUGACUUCUGGGAUACCUAAAUAGUAAAUGAGUACACUUAAUACAAUAGUACACUUAAUACAAAAGGAGUCCGAUCAAAAGACUUUACAAUUUUCAACACAACUCUUAGAAUUUCUAGGCCAACUAAUAGAUGAAUUUUUUAUUGAUUUUUUUCUUAGAAUAAACUUUAAUGAAAUCCUUUCUAAGGCUAGAUGGUUCUCUAUCACAUUUCUUCAUUACUACUAAAUUACAUGUUUUGUUAGACCGAAUGCAAAACUGGAGCACCCAACCUACAUGAAAAAAAAUCCUUUCUCAUUGAUCCUUUUCAUUGUCUUUUUUUUUUCUCUUUUAUUCUUAUUCUCUCCUUAUCUCUCUUAAUUUUAUACUUGUUUUUCUGCUUUAUGGUUGUUAGAGUUGAUAUUUUUAGUUAUAUUCUUAUUACAUAUGUCACUCAUGUUCUCUCUCUGUUACAAAUUUCCUGCAGAUCCUCUGAGAGAGAAACCUGAGAAAAUUCUAGAAGAACCUGAGAUGGUUGUCAAUGAUGAUGUAUGUGGGCCAGAAACACCUAAUAGAUCUACAGAAUUGAGCAAAGAGCAUGGCUACAGUCACACUGAACCACACUUUCCAGAGCAUGAAGCAUGGAGUUCAAAUGUUAAGGAUUUGACAUCUUCUAAGUUUCCCAAGUCUGCUCACAAUUUUGUUAAUGCUCUUAAGAAGAACAGAUCAUGUCAGAAGUUCAUUAGGAGGAAGCUACUAGAAAUUGAAGCAAAGAUUGAGAAGAAUAAAGAACUGAAGGAACGUAUUAAAUGUCUUAUGGACUUUCAAGUUGCCUGUAAAAGGAAAGUGGCAAAUAUUUUAUAUCAAAAGAAGGAUCCUCGUAUCACGUUAAUAUCUUUGAAGAGGUCCACAUCUGAAAAGUCAUCAAAGGUAGAGAUCUAAUCUGGCAGUUCUACAUUUUGAAAUACAUGUUUGGUAUACAUCCCUUGAUUGUAUUUCUGUAACAUGUAACUAUAGCCUUUACAUGCUCAUAGAUUAUAUAUGGGGGCCUUUCUGUACACCUACUGCCUGUAUGUAUGCAGUGCUAGGAAAAAAAUUUGCUUUCAUAAAUAGCAUGUUUUCAAGCUUAGGCCCAGCUCAGGCUCGGCCAGUUCACAACAAUAAAGAGCCAAAUCUGAAGUUGAAUUAUAUGUAUGUAUGAUUAAUGAGCUGAGUGCAAACAAGCCCAUGAUCGUCAGGUUUGGCCCGACUUGGGUUUGUUCUAACAGAUAUUUAUAUUAUAUAUAUUUACAGCAUUUUCUGAAACAUUAAAUCUCAUCUAAUGGGAUUUAACUGGACCUAAGUGAAAUGUGGGGCUGAGCACUGAUGAUUUAAUAUCUGCUUGUUAGAUUUUAGUUCAAUGAUUUGGGCUUACCCUCAAACCAAUAUAAAGUGACUAAGAGGACAUUUAAUAUAAUAAGUUGCCACAUGACAAUAUCUUAAUGUUUCUAUUUUAGUUUUUUAAAUUGCUCAAGAAUAAGAAAAAUAAAGUGAGUAGAAAAUGGAAUAGUGAUCAACUUUUGAUUUUAAUUGAAGAUUAAAAAUCUUGAUUGAAGAUAUUAUCUUUGCAAGGAAGUUUGAUCGUUUGAUGAGGAUGGAAGUCUAUCAUCUAGAUAUAUCAUUAAAAAAGGUAACUUUUUCACUUAUUAAAUCCAGUGAUUUAAAAAGCGCUAGGCAUCAAAAAGUGCCAAGAUCCCAAAAUGCUCGAGGUGUUAGGUGCUUGCCAAAGUGAAGCGAGACGCUCUAAAAUAUUAAAAUAUAAAAAUAUAUAAUAUAAUUGAUAAAUAUUAUUAGGAGGGAGAGAAAAAUAGCCUUUAAGAGGGAGAGAAAAAGUCAUCGACAGUUGAACUUUUAGACGACAACGAUGGCGACGGAGAAAGCUGUGGAUGGCAACAACAACAGUAGUGAAAGCUGCGGAUGGCAACGACAUGGGCGAAGGAAACUUCAGAGGUGUCCGUUAGUGGCGAAGGAAACUGUAGUCCUCUCCCUCGACGGUGGAAGGAGUUGCACACGGAAGCAACGACGAGGAAGGAAGCUGCGGACAAAGGUUAGGCUGUCGAACACGUUCGUCGACGACAGAGGAAGCCUCGGCCUGCUACGUCUGUGGUGAAGGCAAUGGCAGAAAGCGUUGGUAGCAAAGGCAAAAGCUGCACUAGGGUUGAUGUCUCGAGGUCACGCGAGGGUGCGAGGGAUGGCUUUUGCAAGUAAGAAGCUAGUUGGUUCAAUCGAACCAACUAGCUACUACUUCAUUUGAAUCAAGCGCUUGCCCGAAGCGCCUGGGUUUAGGUGAGUGCCCAGGUGGUACCUCAUUGAAGCGCGCUACCUGGUCCACCAUUGAGGUGCUCGGGCUUCGCCUUGCCUCACCCGAGCACCAGGGCGCCUAUUUAAACCACUGAUCAAAUCUAUAAAAUUAUUUUCUGCGAAGAAGGAUAAAGUAGUUGAUUUAUAUUCAUUUUUUUAAAUUUUGUAUUCUUAUUUUCUUGUAAUUGGGGAGCCUAUAGAAAGGGUAAAGGGAUUGUAAUUGCUUUAUGAAUAAAUGAAUAUGAAUGAAUAAUUAUUUUUUCCACAUUAAGUAUGUGCAAGUGGUGUGAAGCCACAUCUUUAUUCCUGAAGGUGUGAUUCCACUGAUUACAUGUGAGAUGUUUAGAGGUAUGAUUUCAUUCCUGAGAGUUUUUCAUUGAGCCAGAGUCUGAUAGUUUUGUCUAUUAUCUUUUUUAUUAUUCUUUCUUUAUUCUCAAAUUAAAAAAAGAUAAUUUAUAUGCACAUAAUGAACUUGUCCUACUUCAAUCUCUAACCUCAACUGCAGUCUUACAGUGAGCAACUUUGCCACCAUGGAUUAUCCUUCUGAUUGACCACUAGGCAUUGUUGGUUAAUAAGACUGAUAAGGUCACCAGUGAAUUAGAAUUUUUUUUUCUUCCUGUUGGAAUUUUAUAUGACUGUUGUGCUGUCUAUUCAUAAUUUGUUUGGGUUCAGAAUUUACAUAAUGGGAGAAGUUUGGCAAAGACAUUGUUUAAACUAGGUACUGGUAGGAUUUACGGUGCAUUUGUUUGGUUUAACUAUGAUAAGUUUUGAGGAUCAAUUAUUGUGAUUCUUCUUGUACUGUAUGCCAGUAGGCUUCCCUCUUUAUCAUCAAGGACUAGAUGAUGCAUCCUUUGUACAGUGAAAUAAUUCAGUAAUGAAUAAGCUUGUCUUUGUAAAAAAAAAAAGACAAUCCAAGGAACACAAUGAUUAUAAUUAUUUUUUUUGUAUGGUGUUGUAAAUAUAUGAAGCACCACUUGGAAGUCUUAAGCAGACUAGACAUAACUAGAUUAUAUUGUCAUUGAUUAUCUUGCAUCUAUCUUAGUUGUCUUUUUAUUGAUUCUGUAUUUAUGAACAUAAUUAUUACAACUUCCAUAAAGAUGUGGUGCUGGGUGCUACUAAUAAAUUUCUUAUAUACAAUUUUAUUACCAUCAUGUUUUUUAUUACACUAACAUAUAGUUGUUGAAUCCUCAUGGAUGGCGUCAGACAUGCUAUCAGUUCUUUCUUUCUCUAGUUGCUACUUGUUUUCUUCUUUUAAACUGUUAUUGCCUUUAGUUGUUUGUUUUAGAAAUAAAUUUACAUUGGCUGACAAGUAUGUCUGGAUGCAGACGACUUUGAAGAAGGUUCCUGCCUCAUAUAUUGGUCCAAAUGAGAACUCCCAUGUUUCAAAGUAUAAAAUGGUACUUAAAAGAUUUCCCAUCUCACUUAGUAAGCAGCCAUGGUCAAACAUCGAGAAAGAGAAUCUUGUGAAGGGAAUAAAGCAACAGUACCAAGAGAUGCUGAUUUUGAACUCAAUGAAUAUGGAAAGGUAUGUAUUUACUUUGAGGUUGCCUUUCUUCCUAGUUUAUUUUCUGUAUUUGCUCUGAUGACCUUAAAUCUACACGAAGGCUUUCAACCAAAGUAUUCUGCGGGUUGAGGUUACUGGAAAAAUUUUCUUUAACAUUGAUUUUGAGGCAUUUGAACUUUUUCUAAUCAUUUUUAUCUCACAUGCAGUGACGCAGAGGGCAUCACAGAUUCAAAUUUAAUGUCUGCAAUAACACUCAGUGAUCCUGAGUUCACAGCUGAAAAAAUUAGAUCUUUCAUACCAUUAGUAAAUUGGAAUAGGUUGGCUUCAAUGUAUGCCAUGGGCCGUGCUGGUGCAGAAUGUGAAGCAAGGUAUAAUUUUACUUAAAAUGAGGUAUUCUAUAUUUCAGUAUAUUAGCAUCGUUUAUACAUUCUAAUGCUUAUCUGUCAUAUAUUAUUUGCUUAUUAAUGGUUCAAUUUACUUGCAUUGUUUAGCCUUGUACCUUCAAAUGUUGCUUUUCUUUACAAUCCGUUCAAAUAUGUCCUGAUAUAGGCUAUGACAAGACAGGCUUUUGACAAUUUAUCGGACAAUCUAACCUGGAAAUACUUACCGUAGUUGAUUUUGCCAUUCUCCAAUUUCCUUCUCCCGAUACAUUCCACCAUUAGAGUCUGAGUAACAAUACAAAAUUCAAUGACCUGCAUUAAUUUACAAGUUCAACUAGUUGUUGAGAUUGGUAUCAGACCAAAAUUUGAAACCUUUUAUAUAAUUAUAAAGUAUGUAGCAGUUUUCAUAUAAAAAAUGAUAAGAAAAAAUCCACAAGCUUUAGGUUGCUCCUUAAGCCCAAAGCAAGAAGGGUAAUGAAUGGGUGGCAUUGGCAGCAAGCAGGCAGCAUGUAGUUGCGAGCAAACAUAAAGUAGUUUGAACAACAAGGUGAGCAACAAAGUAAAUCCUCAGCUAAUCCCCUCUUCCAGUCACCCCUUCCUCCUUCGAUCACCCAUGUCCACCUCCUCUUUCUUUCUCUUUCCCCUUCCACUUCUUCUCUCAUUUAUCUUCUUUCCCAUUUUAUUCUCUAUUUCUUAAUUCAAUGGAUGGCUACAAUAACACUAUGUUGGAUGAUAAAGAAUCUAUGCCGGAAUUGGCUGGAAUCUAAUCUGGAUCGCUGGAAUCGCCUUAUUAUCUAAAAUCAGCUAAUUCUUGCAACUCUUUUUGAUCAAUAUUGGUCAUUUCCCAACUAUUUGAUAUUUUGCCUGAGGAAUUAGGAUUUUCUUUAUGAGUGGUUGAUCUGGAUCCAAAUAGACUGUUCCAUAUUGGAACUGACUCAAUGUGAGAGCGACGGGAAUAUCAAUUACUUAUUACUUAAGGUUGGUGGAGAAGCCUAAUUGUUUAAAGGUUUUUUACUUCAUAGUUGUGUUCUCUCCUGCAUAUGCAUGUCUAAGUGUUAUGCACUGGAGUAUGUCUCGCCUGAUCUUGAAAUCUGAUGAGGAAGGUCUGAUGCAUGAAUAAGUACCGUGUGACUUUGUCCAGUACAUUGUUUGACAAUAAGAUUGAUGUACAGCUUUUCUAAAGCCCUUUCCUUUGCAGCAAUGUUUAUCCACUAAGAUAGACAAGUCAUUAAGUACUGAUGCUUGUGGUAUUAGCUUUUAAUUAUGACAACAUUGUUCACUAGUGUAGUUAUAAAUUAGUUAAGUGAUUAUUAGUAUGUAGCCAAUCUCUAUGAAAGUUAGAGGCAUGUGUAUCGCUUUGAUCCUAGCCAGCCUGUAUAAUUUUGCUUCCUUUCUUAGAAUUUGGCACUGUAAACUUCCACACUGUGUCAGUCUUGCUAAGAAGCUGUAUUUAGGAGUUUGGAUGGUUGCUACAUGAAGGUAAAUUGAGCCAAUAAUUGUUUAGUUAGACUUCUUUGUAUGUUGCAUUUGAAUAUUUAUUUCUUUGAUCUGUAACUAGUUUACUAUUCUAAUGUGUCUUAUUAUGCAGAUAUUUUUUUAGUGGGUAUGCUAAUUUUAUUUCUCCAAAUUGCCUCAUCAUUCUCAAGGGUGACGGCACUUUUAAUCUUUGCAUUCAUUUCAUGUUUUCUUCAGGUGGUUGAACUGUGAAGAUCUCAUGAAGAGCCGAUAAAUGUUUCAUUAGACUUCUUUGUAUGUCACAUUUGAAUAUGAAUUUCUUUGGUCUGUAACAAAACCACCGCUCUAAUAUGUAUUUUAUUAUGCAGAUGGUUUUUUGCAUGGUUGUGCCGAUUUUAUUUCUCUGCCUCAUCAUUUUCACAGUUGAAGGCACAUCUAAUCUUUAUUUUAUCUUUUCUUCAGGUGGUUGAACUGUGAAGAUUCCAUGAUUAAUCACAGUCCUUGGACAGUAAUGGAGGAUAAGAAGCUUUUGUUUAUCGUUCAAGAAAGGGGCAUUUACAAUUGGAUAGAUAUUUCAAUCACAUUGGGUACACAUAGAACACCAUUCCAAUGCUUAGUACGUUACCAACGGAGCCUUAAUCCUCAUAUUCUGAAUAAGGACUGGACAGAAGAUGAAGAUGCAAAGCUUCGUGUGGCUGUGGAGUACUAUGGCGAUAACUGGCAGAUGGUCGCUUCUUGUCUAGAAGGCCGUGUAGGUCCUCAGUGUUCUAAUAGGUAAGUCAUUUCUAAGUGCUUUCUUUGUUGAUUUCUCGGAUUAAUUAGUUAAUUUGUUGGAAGAACAAUGACCAACGGACAGUUGUAUCUAGGUACAGACAAAGGAGCAGCCUAGGUUCCUAAGUCCACAAAUGAAAAAUUAUACUUGCAAAACAUUCUUAUCUAUGCAUAUCAAAUGGAUAAAAAAUUCAGCAAUAUCAAUGACAUAGAAUAUGUUUUGAUUUGAUCAAUAAUAUAAAAGUAUCAGAUCAAGUAAACUUCUUGUAUGUAGUCAUACAACAGUGUCUAUCAGUGUCAAGCGUUUUGAUGAUUGUUGAAGUAGUUUGGUUGGUACUUCUAUGCAUAAAUGCUUUUUAUUGCAUUCAUUUUGUUUUAGUUUGUUGGGCACACAAAUUUUAUCUAAAUCUUUAUUUUUUUAAAUUAUCACUUGUUUUUACAUGGUAGAUAAUUUUGAAUGAUCUUCAACUUUGUAGCCUCCAUGAUUGAUUUUGAAGUGACAGGAUUAAGGUCUUAGUUCUCCUGAUUGGAUUGUAACUCAAUACUAUAGAAUAACUAAGUUGAAGAAAUUGAUCUAUCAUGUAUCAGAUGAGCUGCAGUUCUUUUAUGUUAAUUGUACAAAAUAUUGGCAUAAAUAAGGUACUACUAUUUGUUAGUACACCAUCCUAGGAACCAUGCUAUGCAUAUGCAAUAAAAAAGGCUUUUGUUUUCCAAUUGAUGAUAGUACACUCAAAGAGUUUUUAUAUAGCCUUGUCGAACUUCACGCAGUUGUUUAAUUGUGAUAGUAUUUGCCAUUUGGCAUUAAUGCUUUGUUAUGGGUUUUUGAUGACACAACUGGCAUAAGUAAAUAUAUGAUUUUCUAGCAAAUGCAGUAGUGACAGCCUGGGAACUGCUAAUGGAUGCAACUUUCUAGUAGUAUGAUAUGCUAACUAGUUGGAUUACCAUUAAUUGGUUAUAUACUUCCUUUUUGGACAUUGAGAUUUAUGAAGGGUGAUAGCUAUUUGAAUUCAGGGGUUAUGUUUCCAGUGACACUUCUUGGAUAUGUUAUUUUCUAGGAAUUGUUAUAUAUUCAUUUGUGGACUGGACGGUCAUACAGAUUGUAGUUGGUGUAAUCAAGGUUUGUAAGACUGCCUGAUACAGUAUGGUACGUAUAGUAUUUACUGGUCUGACAGCCUACCAGUAUGGAGACCAGGGUAAACCGGAUGGUACACCCAAUGCAUGGCUUGUACCAUCUAGUACAGGACCAGUGCCAUGCAGUAUGCCCAGUAUAGGGCUUGUACUGCCCAGUACAGGAUGGUACAGGCCCUGUACUGGAUAUUUUGCCUUUUGUUUUUUCAGUUUUCCAAGGUUUUUUUCUGAAACUCGGUAUAUACCGGCAUACUAACACUUCGUACACUGGUAUGGACCAUUGUAGAACUAGUCUGAACCCUGACUCGUAUAGUUCCGGUAUAUGAAAUUGUGAACAUUGAGUCUAGUAUAUCCUUCCCGUAACAUGAAACCUAUGACCUCUCUGUUUCAGGUGGAACAAAACUCUUAACCCUGAGAGGAAGAAAGUGGGAAGAUGGUCUGUGGACGAAGAUAAACGGCUGAAAGUAGCAGUGAUGCUUUUUGGGGCCAAAAACUGGAACAAGAUAGCUUGGUUUGCCCCUGGUCGCACACAAGUUCAGUGUCGAGAAAGGUAGCAGCAUAAUUUUCUUUACCUCCAGAUAAGACUAAUUUAUAAUGUCUGUUUGAUUCCAAGUUGCUCUCUCUGGUGACAGGUGGCAUAACUGUUUGGAUCCAACCCUAAAUUUAAAACCGUGGACUGCAGAAGAGGAUGCCAAGCUGUUGGAUGCAAGAGCGAUGCAUGGAAAUUGUUGGUCGAAAAUUGCUGCCUGCAUACCUCCACGUACUGAUAACCAAUGUAGGAGGUAUGAUCAUGAUGCAUUCCUACUAUUUCACCUUCAAAGACCUCUGUUGCUUGAAAUGAUGUUUUAUGUUCUGAGUCUUCUGACUCAUGGCUUCUUGUGAUUCUAUAGUACCUGAUUUUCUUGUGACUCAAAGAUAAUACUUUAAAUUCUGGGUAUACAGACGAUGGAAGAUUCUGCUUCCAGGAGAAUUGAUUUCGCUUCAAGCUGCAGCACAGAUAAAGAAGACUGCACUUAUAUCUAACUUUGUAGACCGAGAAAGUGAGCGACCAGCAAUAGGUCCAAAUGACUUUACACCACUCAUUAAUUCUAAUACUAUGUUUGACAAAAUUGGUGGUGCAAAAGUUAGGAAGAAAAGGCAAAGGUACUGUUCUUUGGACAUACAUUGGUUUUCUUUGGGUUAUUCUGUCUUCAUUCCCUUGUUCUUAGUUCUUAAUUAUAUAUGUUUAUUAAGCCUUGAAGAGUUUGCAUAUUUACACCUUGAAAAUAUUAUGAUCUGAUUAGGUUAUUAUUUUAAUAUUUAGUUUUCUUUUAUGACCAACUGGACAGUGAGAAUCAACCAAAUAAGUCCAGAAAGAAGCCCAGAAGAGUUUCAAUGGAGGAUCAGGAGACAAAUUGUUGCACUGAUGACCUGGCUCUUCCACCAAGCAUAGAAUCGAAUCCUACCAGUAGUCUGGGCAUUAGCAGGUCAGGGAAUAAAAGAUUGAGGUAUGAUUAAGACACUAGAUUUUAUGAUCAUAUUUUAUAUAAGAUUGUGCUUUCGUAUUCAAAUUAUUCUAUAUCCUUAUAAUUUUUAUUUGUCUUUUGUUUCUUUAUCAAUAUUUCAGGGAUGAUAGACCAAGAAAUCCAAGAGUUAAAUCCAGAAUACAUCUUAAGGAGAAUUCAACAAAGGAUUGCAUGACAAACACACCAUCUGUUGUAGCUCCAGCAGAUAUGUCACUUGUAGUUGCUAUAAAUUCGAAAGCUACAGAAAGUAUGAACAUCAGCAAGGCAAUGGAUAAAAGGUUGAGGUGAUGUGGAUCGACAUACUGAGCAUUGGGGUAGCAGAGUGGAAUGUAUCAUCUUUAAACGUAUGCUGACUGUAUCUGUUAAACGGUCUUUUUUCACAGUAAAAAUGAACAGAACAUGUGGAUCAAGUCCAGAUUUCCUAUUGAGGAGAAUUCAACAGCAGAUGGCCUAGCAAAAUUUUCAGUUGAUAUAGCUUCUGAUGAUUCACCCCUUGCCUUAUAUAUGAAUAACACUUCCGCUAGGAACUUCAGAAGGCAAAGGAAUAUAGCAAGGUUCUACUGACUAAUUAUUCUUGGCAUGUUAUUCUCUAACAUUUUGCUCCUUAUUAAUAUGUCACUCUGUCGAUGCUGCAGAGUUAAUACAUUAAAAGGCCAGGGGUUAGAUCCAGAAGCUCAUUUCAUGAAAAUUCUGUAGCAGAUGGCACACUGAAUUAUUCAGCUGAAGUAGUUAAUGCUGAUUAUUUCUCUACCCCUGUGAUUUUGUAUAAUUCUGAGAAUGAUUAUAUAGAAGGAAUAAGGAAGAAAGAUUCAAGGCUUAUGGAGUAAGAGACUCAGGAUUCUGCUAUAUUGUUAUGUUAUUUGUAAUUGUGCGUACUGCCUACUAAUUUAUUUUUGGAAAUUUACAGUGAUAAUUAGCCGCAGAUGUCUAAAGCUGAAGCAGAAAGAUCUCUUGAGGAAAAUCUUACAGCACUUGGCAUGGUCAAUGCUUCUACUGAACCUGUUCCUUCUGAUGUACAUUUAUCACCAAGUACAGAGGCUAAUACUCAUGCUACGGAGAGCAUUAGUGACCUAAGUAAGAAAACCUGAAGGUGAGGAGGAUCAAAUCUUUAUUAAACGUUCGGCUUACUGAUAUAGCAUCUCUUGUAGUUUGGCUAAAUUAAUUAUUCAAAAAUGGCAUAGCAUCUCUUGUAGUUACUGAAGAGGACACACGAACUGCUGAGGAUUCAUUUAAGGUAAGAGCUGUGUGUGGUGCUGGUGAUGAUAAUUAUUCAAAAGUGCUUGCUAACUGUAACAGUACAGUCUGUGGAGGCAAGUUAGAUGAAGACCUACUGAUUACUGAUGAGAGGGUUGUUCUGUUCAGGAAUGCAAUGGAUAAAGUAGUAGGCUUUCUUGAUGAUUACUGAUUCUGGAUUAUCUAAACUACUCAAAGACCACUCUGCAGAAUCCCUUGUUCAGUAUUAUCACAGACAACGCAACACUAUAUUUUCUGUAUUUUGUUAGGUAUGGGAAUCCUUGAGCCGUCUCUCUUGCCUCCAUGCUUAUAUAUGACAUAAAGCUUCAGUUAUACUGUAUGUCACUGCAGAUUGCUGAAAUUAGUUCUCAAAGUUACAGACUUCUCAUACUCUCUUAAACAAGUGGGAAACCAGGUAGAUAAUUUCUACUGGCCUGUUGAGUCUUUGCUUGUAAUCAACACUGGAUUCAAGCAUUUGCUUUCUACACAUAUAGAAAGUGUUUUGCACUAGAACUGAUAUUUGCUGUCAGUUGCAUGCAGACAGGAUCGAUGGAACACCACCCUCUAUACGUUCCCCUAUUUGAUUUGGUUCUACACAAGUUUGCUAUUUAGGUACGUCUAUGGGUAUUAUAGACAAAGCUGCGCAUGUAAUGGAAUUUUGCAAUAGAAGUACUCGGAGGCUUUUUUGUCUUUAUAAUUAUUUUUCUUGAAGUGAGGGCCUUUGUCUGUGAUGUCUUUUCUUGAUGAGAUCUAUCAAAAAACGCAAAAGGAAACUCAUGUUAUUGGUUUCUUUCCAAUUGUUUGGUGUACUGAGUCAUGAUUUUAUUAGAGCCACAUUUUUUUUAUGUUCCUUUCAUUUGUUCCCAUUUGUUGAUGAAUGUGAUGUAAUAAACACCAGAUUUUUUUUAUUAAAGUGGAACUAUAUUCUAUGCUUUAAAUUCAAUUGUCAUUUUAGAUGAUUUUUUUCCAAUGUCUUGGUAUCAAUGUCUUGGUAUCAAAUUUUUUUCCAAUGUACCGUACCGAUAAAUUCGGUGUCUGCCAUACCGAAUCGUACUGUCCGGUACGAACGUACCGAUCUAAUAGGCUAACAGUACGUGGAUCGCUCGGUACUAGUCCGUACUAUAGCAGUGCUAUAGUGCUCGGUACACCUGGAUGUACCGCUCGAUACACCGUACCGAUACCGAGCCCAGAUCGAAAUAUCGGUACGGUAUAAUAUUGCGAACCUUGUUCACAAGGAUUAUUGUUUAUAAAUAAACUUGAAAGUUUCUAACUAAACUGCCAGUUAAAACAAUAGGUCAAAUAACUCCUCCAUAAUUAGUAUGAAAUAACCGUAGUUAUUUUACUUUUGAAAUAAAUUGUCAUCACAGUCAAAAAAUUGAAACCACACAGACACAAUUAGAACUAACAACUAUACUUGCCCAGCAUCAACUAUUAAGUCUACAAAUAAGAACAAAAUUUUACAUUAAUCAUUCAAAGAUAAGAGGCUGAAUAGCUCAAAAUCUCUCGAUCAUUUGUGUUGACUAAGUUCUACUGGCCAGUGUAGAACCUCCUCUCAGCAAUUUCUGAACGUAUAGCUCCCCUGCUCUGUAGGAAGACCGAACCUAAAAUACCAUCAAACACAAAGAGUGUGAAUUACCAAGAAAAAGAUAGUACACUGCUUUACAAGAGACGGUUUAUUACAACACCAGAGUCUAGCAGAAUGAUUCCACAAUCAACCUAUAAGAGCACAUAAACUAACUCAGUGUGCUGAGUUAAAGAAUUAUCUGGAUUUGCAUUCCAAUUAUAAGGGGGUCUGAAUGCCAUCUUAUCUGAGUUGGUAAAAGAGGAGAAAACAAAGGAUUUGAAUCUGGUGUAUUUUAUGUUAAACAAUGUGAUCCUUGUACUCAUGAAAGAACUUAUAACAUCAUAUGUGGUCGACAUCAUAAAUCAAUGCAUGAUUACUCGAGGAUUUUACCAGGCACGGCACCUGCGAGUGUUCUCGAACGGUGAACAUCUGUUUUUAGUUAGUGUCACAAGAUGAAACUUUUAGGCUAAACUAAACCAGCAUAAUAUGAUGUCAUCAAAGAAUCAAAGAAAAGCAGGAAUCUACAUUGCUCAUCUACUAAGUGCAACAUAAAUUCCCAAAUCACACUAAACGUCCUCGUUGAGAGACAAGACCAAACAUAAUUACCAGUGGUCCACUAGCAACAUAGCGGAAACCAGCAGAUUCUCCAUAUUCUUUCCAGAAGGCAAACUUCUCAGGCGUCACAUACUCUUUGACCGUUAGGUGUAGUGGUGUCGGCUGUGAAAAAUCUCAGAACCAUAAAUGUCAACAAAAAAGAAAAAAAAAAUCCAAAAUGCUAUUGCUGUCUAACCUGCAAGUACUGCCCCAAUGUAAGAAUAUCAACACCAAUGGCCCUUAAAUCAGCCAUUGCUUCCUUUACCUCCUCAUCUGACUCUCCAAGACCUAGCAUGAUAGAAGACUUUGUAACCAUCCCAUCCUUGCAUAGCUUUGCAUGCUUCAGGACAUUUAAACUCUGCUCGUACCUGCCAAACAGAAAAAAGCUAAUGCGAUCAGAACAUGCAUGUAUUCACACAUGCGACAAAACUGUGGACUGUUUCUCCUUCAAAUUAGUAUGCCUUGAAUGGAUACUAGUGCUGGGAAAAGCUUCUCAUUGAAAGAGUAGGUUAUUUCAAAUAUCAUAAAGAAGUACUGUUGUAAUUUGUAAUUUUGCUUUGGUUGUGCUUAGGGAUGUUGUAAAGUGAGAUUGGAAGAGCUUUAUUACCUAUGGGGUUAACUUUUGAGCUAUUCAUUGCACAAUAUAAGAAGGAAAAAUUGAACUUCAGUGUCGAAUAGAUGACUCUCAAUAUGCUUCUUACCCUGCCCGAGGAUCUCUAACAAUUCUUUGCAACCGCCUCACGGUCUCAAUGUUGUGGGCAAAUACGUCUAGGCCAGAAUCUGCCAACAGUGAGACAGCCUCAAGAUCUCCUCGAAAAUCAGAAGUUAGACAUUCGACCAAAAUAUCGGGUUUAAGCUUCUGCAACACAAACGAUGUCAUAACCUAGUGAGUUUGUAAUGAAUAAAAGAAAAAAGGAUUUACCUCAUUGGCGUCCAUAAUCAAAGGUACAGGUAUAACAAACUUAUCAGUAAAUAAAGCUGAAUAUAAAGAAACUACAAAAGCUUAACAAAAAGAUAAACCAUGAACCUUCAAAGCUUUGACUGUCUGAGCAAAAUGGCCACUUCCGCCAUCAGGUAGGUCAUCACGAUCUACACUUGUAAGCACAACAUAGUCCACCCUGCCAAACAUGUACAAAUAGAAGGUCCAUGAGCCUUUGUGCAUAAUAAUCGAUGUCUACAAUUCGACAAUUCACAAAGUAAGUUAUAAGAGAUCUAAGCAUACUAGUUCGCAACAAGAUCUUGAUCUAAAAGUAUCACUAGGAUGACACAAUCAAGCACUUCCUACAACUUUGACAGAAACAGAAAAUGCCUACCCCCAAUUUGCAAUUGCCUUAGCUGUGUUCUGCGGCUCCAUAGGAUCCGGUGGUGCCGGGUUUCUGCUGGUUUUCACCGCACAAAAUCUACAGCCACGGGUGCAGGUAUCCCCUAGAAGCAUAAUCGUCGCAGUCGCAAUACCAUCCCCUUCGCCACCUGCUCCUCCCCCUCCAUUCCAACACUGCAGUUAGAACACCAAUCUUUGAUGAGUCAAGUAGUACACAGUGCAAGUAUACUAGAGACAUAUGUCUCCAACAUAACAUAUGAACAGAGUGCACUACCAGUGUAGCAUUACAAUAGGAUAUAUCCUUGGAGCCACUUCUAUAAAUUACAUCCAAGAACAUUUAACGACAAAAAGAUCAUUAAAUAAGCCAUAUUAUGCUGUCAUCUAUAAGCCCUACUUUUCAACUACAGGCAGUCUUUAGCAGUUUAAAGAUCUGACUACUUCAUGCAAGUCGAGGGUUGAAUGAUCCUAGAAAUAACAAUAUCAACAUAUUUAAGCACGAAAUGCACGGAUUGAAUUUCUAAGCACGAAAUUAUUGAUUGCUUGAAAAGACUAAUUCGCGUAGUUUACGUCAAAACUUGGACCUCUCCAAUGUUGGGGCACUGCGCCUCCACGCAGACGGUGUUCAGCUUCAACUCCGCAAGCGACUCCUGCAGCCUCGCGUACUUCUCCCCAUGCGGCGCCCUCUGCCGCAGCCACUCGGGCUUCCUCACCGUCGGAUCCCGGCCGGUGUGCAGCCCCAUUCCGCCCGGGUACGGCCCUGCCGCCGCCGACGACGACGAUUCGAACAGCUUCGACGGCGCCGGAUUAGGUUUCGGAUCCGCCCUGUUCGAAGCAUCCACCGCUUCAGAUCGAACAACGACGUUCAAAUUCCGGGAGCUCUUCGACCAAGGCUUGAGGGAACCGAUCGGAAUCGGCGGGGCGAAAGGGCUGGCGAGCGAUUUCUGAAACAUUUUCGCCGAUUGAGCUCCGAAAUUGAUCGAACAAGAAAGAAAGCUCCCGUUCUUGAUCAUUUAAAUCUUUGGUGAAAUCGAACCGUAAUUCCAUAAAUAGGCUUCUUGUGGAGGCAAAUUGCGGAUAUGUACGUUUGCGUUUAGUUCGUUCGAUCAACAUUGAACGGCUAACGAUCGGAAUAACUCGCGUUUAAUCCCAUGGCAUGGAAGUUAUUUAGGGGAAUUUGAGAGGUCGGGGCGACGAAACCUAUGCUGGGAACAGCCUUUUGAAAGAGAUACCUUUUCUACUUAUCUUCUGCGACCCCAACAGUUACCCUCGUAGCGACUAGCAAGACGGCGUGGGGCCAACAUAAGUCGCUCUGUCUCCGGGGUUUGGUGAGUCGGGUGUGAAGUGCAGCGAGUACAAGAAGCACUGGUGUUUUGGAAAACACUGUUUCCUGCGUUUCACAAUGUUAGCAAUUUGAAGGUUUUAAAAAACACUUGUUUUACUGAAACUUCUAAUAAUCUUUUUUACCGAUCCUUCGGAAGAAAGAUCUCAGCAUAAAUCUCCCUCUAAUAAACUUUAAUGAGACACAAAAUACGGUGUCAUGCACUCCUACUUCAGUGUCUAAGACUUAAUUAUGAUACAAGGGCAGUAAACGAAGAGAUUUGGAAGACUACCUCUGCACUGUGUUUGUGCAGGAGUUUGGAAGACCACCACGACAUGCUCAUGUGGUGAAUCUUUGGAUGCCAUUAAUAUGUAUCGGUGGCGCAAAAAUUCCCCGAUUUCCCUUCAGAACAUACUAAUUUCAUUAUGCUCCCAUCACAGGGAAUGCAACAAGCAGAUACUGCAUAAGCUGAUAGAGCAUGAAAGCUUUAUAAGUGUCGGAAAUGACCCAUACAAGAACAGAACAGAAACAUGAGUGCCGUGCUCAUCAAAGAAAGAUAUAAUUGACCCAUACAGCAAACAAAAACAGUUGAGAGCAAAGCUCGAGUGAUGUACAGAACAGAACCGCGACACCAACUAAAGAGCUCGUGUGUUCUCGGCCAAUGUAAUGUUCUCCCUGAUUCCAAGGUCAUGAAAAUAAUCCAACAGGAACAGCGACAGAAAGGCCUUUUAACAAUGCAUCAAAUAAAUAGAGAAUGUUACUCAGUUGAUUGAUCUAGAAAUCUCCAUGGAAGAUUUAUGGUACACUUUUGCCACCAAGAUUAUGAACAAAGACAAAACUUUUGAACACUAAAAUAGAACCAUUACCACCAUUUGCAAGUAGCAUGUGGUGCUUUCUUAUAAAUAUAAAGUGGCAUCCGCACGGCCUUGAAGGCUCGACCCACAAGAUUACAGAAGAGAAAGAACCUCGCAGCUCCUCAUGUGAGGACCAGGAAUCUGUAACACACGAGAGGCAUCCACAAAUCCUUUAAGCUAAGGAGUUAUCCUCAUUAAAAUGGCACGGAGAACCAAGAUAGCAUCAAAAUCUAGCUCCCUGGAAGAAAAAGUAGGUGCAAAUCCAACAAAUGUUCUGAUCCAGUUGCAACAUCGACAAAAUACUUACAAAUAUGCUGACACUAUUCUGUUUCCAAGAUAGAAGAUGGAAUUGCCACAGAAAAGAGAGUGAAAAGACUGAAGUUUAUCAGAAAUCUACAGUUGUAGGUAUCAUAAGCUACCAGCAUGUUCAGAAAGGAAAAAAAAACAGCAUGCUUCAGGUAAUCAAGGAGUAUGUAUAUGGUUUGAUACUGAAGAAAUAAUGUAGAGAUGAAAUCACAUAAGUGCUAUUUGAAGACAUUUAAUUUAUCUUUACGAGCAUCAACCAGGAACUGAUUCAGAACUUUCAGGCCUGCUAUUACCUCCAUGAGUACUAACACGAACAACAGGCAUGGAUCUCUGAGCAAAAUCAAGUAACACCUUACGCUGGUGGUCAUUCGUGUGAGGAAGACUUGCAUGCAACAACUCAACCGGCAUCUCCCUGCUAAUAGCUCUGGUUGCCUCAGAUCCCACAACUGCAGUGCUUGGUGCCUGCAUGAGUAACAUUUGCAUUAUACUGUCAUAUUUACUAAGACAGUACUUAGUAAGAAGCCCAAAGAAAGCAUCGAACGAUGCCUGCCAUAAAGUUCGACUAGAGACAGUAUAAUUGUUUGCAGCAUGAGGGUCUGUCAGAAGAUCUGUUGCUCGAUCCAGAACAGACUUUAUAAUUAUGCUAGCUCCAUCACCAGCUGAACUUCCAAGAGGGCGAAGAGGUGGUUGUUCAGAUGAGCAGACCACUGCAGCCAGGCAAGCACUGAGUGCACUAAGUUCCAUGUUGCACGCACAUAAAGACACAGCCUUGGCCAGAUUGGUUGUUGUUUCUGCUGCACUGGAGUCUGAAGGUAAACCACCGAAUAAAAAUCUAAGGUGGCGGAAAAUGGCCAUGCAGACUACCCGAGUAAGAUGACUUCCAGGGAUUAGAAGGUGAAGAUAGCGACAUAGGAGCUUCCGGCCCUUAGGAAGAGUAACUAUGCGUAGGAAAACAAGGUCAUCCUUUGGGGCAAAACCUACUGAAUGAUCAGCUUUACCAGGGCCAAGGGGAUCAACAAGCUGAAGUGAUGCAGCAAUCACUUCAAUCAGAACUUGCCUUCUGCGCUUCAGUUGCAACCCACCAUCUUGUGGUUGGUUAACCUGUAACACCCGAUCAAUAUCAUCUACAUCAAGAAGAAGGCUAAUACAAUCUUCAGUGGUGAUUCUAGCAGCCAACAUUGUCUCUUGUUCAAGGGGCUUUAUAGAAGACUUCCGAUCAUCACCUGAUGAAGAUGGUAUAUCAACCUCAAGGAGAGGGCGAGGCCUACGUAUUGAAGAGAAUUGAACCCUCCCAAGUGCAUCGACCUGAAAAUAUGCAUGUGAUUCAUUACUACCACGUGACCGUGAUGGAGGAUCCUUUAUUGCUGUUGGACAGAAGUUGUGCUUCAGUCUUGAACCAGCUGACUUUUUUGCAAGACAAGCUUGAUAGUAAUAGUCAUCUACAUAAGGAUCAGUGACAUGAGUUGCUGAAUGCUGCAUCCUCAAAAUACUUCCUAUCUCUUCGGCUGACAUGUACUUUGAUCUAAAUUGACAACUGCUGUCAGUCUUCAGGCUGCCAGUUUCAGAAGAUUGUUGAGACAACCAUAUAUUCUGUCUUCCCCUAUGAGAUGAUUUCGAUCUAUGGUCUCUCGAAUUAGACAUGCCAAUGACUGCAUCAAAUUUUUUCAUUUUUCGAGGUGGGGGGUUAUGGAGGCUGAAUAUAUUAGGUUGCAAGUGCAGGAAAUGGGUGAGAGAUGGCUGGACCUGCUGUAAUCUCUGAUGUUGCUGCUGUGACAAUAUCCGUGAAGGAAUUAAACCAUUGGGUAGAGGUAACUGUUGCUGCAACAAGUUAGACAACUGGCUGGGAUGUUCCCGUGAAUAAAGGCUAGUUUGAUUCAACCAAUGGUUCCUUGGAAUGUUGAUUGAUGAAAUGCCGUGAGGUGUAAACUGUGAAUUUACACCAUAGUGAAGCCCAUGAGAUAAUCCCCCCAUGUGAUGUUGAGGACCAGAAUAAGGGGAUGGAGCAGGUAUCUGCAAUGCAGCAGUAACAGAUGGCAAGCUUGAAUGACGUGUGAGGUUGAACGAAGGAUAACAUUGUCCACCAGGCGGAGGAUACGAAGUAAAAGAUGACUUGGGUACAGGAUUUAGUUCACUUGAGUGUUCUUGCUGUUGUUGCUGAGGGUAGGAGGAUGUUCUGUACAAUGGUUUUAGUUCAGAAAACUGAGACAAAGUGGCAUCAGGUUGUGACCACCACCUUUUGCCUUCCUGAACAUCUUCAGCAUCUAAUAUUUCCUGAUCAAUCCAGCUUGGAAAAUCAGCCUCCUGUGCCCAGUCUGCAGUAGAAGAACCUGAGUAGUUGACAUAUAAAACUAACAUUAGUUUUAAACUUAACCAAAAAAAUUAGUGUUUUCAUUCUUUCAUAACUAAACUAACAUUAGCAGUGUGAUUAGUUUACAAACAUAAUAAUGUAAUGUCAAGUGUCACAGCAAACACAGCAUAAUACAUGUAUAGCAGAACAUAUACAACACCAAGAAGCCAUACAGUCCCAACAUUAGAUGAUCAUAUCAAGAGAUAGAUAUAAUUUUAAUAUGAAUCAAUGAACAAGCCAGGAAACAAUGCCCACUUUAACCAUGUGAGAAAU